CUUAAUUAUCGUACUAAACUAAUGAAUCCGGUCAAUUUUUCAUGCAACGUUCCGAUACGCUAGGCUGGACUUUGCUGUCCAAAAACGUCCACGAUACUCCACGAGCUGCCGUCUGAUCACGAAUAAUCCCCAUCAAGCGGUCCAGAUAAUUGUUGGUAACGAACGCGCCAAAUGAGGAGCUUAGGAUUGGCUGUUUGCCGGAUAAGGAGGAGAGAUUCAGGGACCCGGGGUAUUUGACUUGUUAAGAAUCUCUAUUUACAUAUGUCGUCGACCUUUCGAUUCUCUCAGACGGAGAUUCCCAAAUCCUCUGGUUAGAGAAAUCAGAAGUCCCUCUCUCUCUCUNNNNNNNNNNNNNNNNNNNNUCCUCUCCUCUCUCUCUCUCUCUCUCUCUCUCUCUCUCUCUCUUUUCUACAAAGAAUCGAUUCAGUACGACAUCGUUUUGAUAUAAUCAAGUAAGUGUGUGUUUGGUAUGUGGUGUUCAGUUUGUGUGUGUUUGGUUUUUGGUGUUCGGUUUGUGUGUGUGUUUGAGUUUUGUGAUUUAGUUUUGGGGUUCUGUAGUUUCAGGGCGAUGGCUGUGACGGUGAGGCAGAUGGCUUUGAUAGUGGGUGUCUUUGGUGUGCUGUCUUUUGUUUUCGGGAUUAUUGCGGAAAACAAGAAGGUAAUUUUGGUGAAUUAUGAAUGAGAUUAUGUAAAUUGGUGAAUUUUGUAUCAAAAAGAUUGAUGAUUUAUUUGAUCUAUGAUAUUAUUGUUCUGUUGCUAUUUGUGGAUGGUGGUUUGUUUAUAUCAAAGAUUGAAUUUUGAGUAUGUCAUAUCUGUAAGGUUGGAGUUUGUGUAUUUCAAUGAUGAUAGAAUAUUGUACUUUGUAAAUCUUCUUCCUUUGGAUAGUGUCAGUACUGUAUGAAUCGCCAAUGCCUUGAAUCAUAAGAAUACUGGUGCCCAGAUAGAUUCGGGGAUUAAGAGUCAGUGACUUGAGUUUGCUGAAUCAAUCCCUAAGAAAGUAAUAGUUAUGUUUCAGAAUAAUCAUCAGAAUCAAAUUUAGCACAGAAACCGAGUCCCAUUCUAUAAGAUAAGCUCGUUUUCAGCUGAGUUUUUACUGGUAUACUCGUUUUGUUGGCUACUGAUUGGAUACUUUGUUUUGAUGCAUUUGCAGCCUGCAUCUGGAACUCCAUUGCCAGGGAAAGAUGUUGUUGUUUGCAAGUAUCCUUCUGAUCCUUCGGUUGCCUUGGGAUAUCUGUCAUUUGCAUUUCUCCUUGUGUCUACAGUGGUCGGGUUCUUGUCAUUGUUUUACCCAUAUCAAGGGAAGUCCCUUCCACAAGCUGCUUUGUUCCGGAGCAAGAGUUUCGUCGUGUUCUUCAACAUUUCUUUGUGAGUGUGCUUUUCUAUGCUGCAGUUUUGUCUGAUAUAUGCAUUUUUGUCGCUGAUUUGUAUUGACAUAUAUGUUGGUUCUGACUCCUGAGAUAUACUGCUUUUCAGUUUUCACUGCCUACAUAUUUUCCUGCUAGACUUCUCUAUAAUGCAUCUCAUGCUGCAUAAUAUACCCUUUCAUUGUUGUUCAUUCAUGGGAAGAGGAUAAUAUCUUGCUAGAAUAUUUGUCAACUUAAUACAAUGGUGGCUCUGCAAGUACUUAAUCAAUGACUGGGACUUGGUGAAGGACUUGCAAGGAAGCCUAGUAUGGAUCUGGUGUAUGAAAGACAUGGAUCAUAAGAAUCGGUGGAAUAGAUGACAUAGCAAUUCACUCCUGUAAAAAGGAGUUUGAAGGACCAGACCUAUUGUGUGAAAUACAUUGCAUUAUGACAUCCAUCUUGAACACGCUAUCUAUCAUUCAAGUUGACAUCAUUUCAGAUAAUGUUUAGUGAACGAAAUGUUUUAGUUUAAACCAUCUUAUUCUAGAGUUCCGUUAUGCGUAGGCAGUCUGCCAAAAGUUUUCAUCCUCUUUCUAAUUGUGUUUCUUUGACGGUGGUGGAAUUACACAGGCUUACAGCAGGACUAGCUGCAGCUCUGUUGCUAUGGACUACAAUAACGGAGCAACUGCAUCUAUCACGAAAUGUUCAUCACAAUAUUGAAACAACGUGCCCCACUGCUAAGACCGGUCUCCUUGGUGGCGGUGCUUUUGUAUCCCUUGAUUCAUCCCUUUUCUGGCUGGUUGCUCUCAUGUUGGCCGACAAUGCCCGAGAGGACUACUUUGAGGAUUUGGAUAAGGAUGUCAAGGGUGGUGGUUUUGCAGAGGUGCAUGGAGCUGAUUAUGGAAAUGUUAUAAAAGGCAGUGCUUGAAGUCUAUGGCCUUCACAAGAAGGGCUCAGGUGGAUGGUUCUAUGUUUGCGUUUAUGUUCUAUUUUAUGCUCAUAAGCUUGUAAAUCAAGCAACUUUACGGAGUAUAUUGGAAUGUAGAUAAUAUUGAUGAUAGAUAUGCACUUUAGUCUCCUUGUGCUAUGAACUCUGUCGUAUGGAGCAUGAAUAAGCUUUUUAACCUCUCAGAAGUGUUUCUUCAUUGUCAUUGGCUUUUAAUUUCUGCUUCAUUCCCUCAUUUUUUGUUGAACGCAAAAAUUGCGAGCAUAUAAACUGAUCUACUGAUGAUUUGCUCUAUACUCAUAGUAGCUGAUUGAACUGAUCCCAAGGGAAAGCAAAGCAGAAAUUGCAGUAGUUAGGUUAAAUGAUAAUCUCGUGAGCUUGGUUUAGAUAAGAACUGCCCUCUUCAGCCCGCGCUUCUCUCAGACUCCAUCGCAUGUUUUCCUCCUCAACGUCGUCGUUUUAUAUAUAUUUUUUAAGAUGGACCGACCCGCCUGCGCAGGCCCAACCCGCAUAGGUUCCGCCUAGCCCAGACCUCAGUUAAAAUGAAACCCAGAUAGGUCGUAAUUACCAAAACAACCCCGUCAAAACUGCGUUGAAUCCAAAACCCUAGUCCUUAAAGCUCCGCAGCCUCUCCUAAACCCUUCUGCUUCUGCUUCUUCUUCUCUCUCUCUAUUAGGGUUUAGGGAAGCAGAGCAGUUACAGUGAGCACCAAAAAAUGCCGCUUGGGGAAAGACAAGGGGACAAGAGCGAGUCUCGCUACUGCGGCGUGGAGACCGAGUUCAGCGAUGACAUGCCUAACCUCCUCUCCUUGAAUCUCAUCCAUGGCUCCUUCGACUUCGUCGUCGCUACUCUGGUCCGUCGUCUUAUUCCUAUAUUUUUAUUUCGCUGCUGUGUUUAGAAAUUCAGAUAAUCAUGGGGACUAACUAGCCAGUCACGUAUUGACUAUUAUGUGAAUGGUCAAAUAAGCUCAACCUAUAGUGAGGUGUUAGAGGCGGUCCGGUGCGGCUGCUUUACCAUCAGCUCUCACUCUACAGCCACUAACCACAUUGUCAAGUUAGGAUUUGAUUUGGAUUUUAGGUUUUGCUAUUGGUUAGUAAUUGUGGAUUCUUAGUAAUGUUUAAGUUCCAAUCUUGUACGGUGAGUAACAAGCCAGUCACGUAGCGGCUGUAAAGCUGUACUUGUUAUGUGAUUGGUCAAUAAGCUCACCUAGAACAAUGUUGCAUUAGAGGCGGUCCGGUGCAGCUGCCUUACCAUGCGGCUUCACUCUACAGCCACUAACUACAUUCGUGGUAUUUUCUACUUAAGAUAAUGGGAAAAGAUUGAGUUAAAUAGUAAUGUUUGAAUGUUUAAUUAGUUAUUUGUGGUUUUGCCGUGUACAAUUCUGCAUUUACUUUGCUCCUGGUAGCUAAUUAGCCAGUCACAUAUAGCCAGAUGGCUGUUGUUUUGUGUGAAUGGUCAGUAAGCUCACCGAAAGUAACGCUUUGUUGGUGGCCUUUACUAGUGAAGCAGAACUCUGGCUUUACAUUUAGGUCAUUACCUACAUUUUCUUUUAAUUUCUGGUACCUUUCUACUUCUUUUUAUCCUUGUCAGAUCUGAAAAUUUUUCAUCAGGGUCAACAGGUUUAUAUUUCCAAUAUCUUCUAUAUAAAACGAUGUCAAGUCAGAUGAAACAAAAAUAAAAUGCUUGCUCCUGGUGGCUAAUUAGCCAAUUACACAUGGUCAGCGAUGGCUAUUCAUUUGUGUAGAUGGUCAGUAAGCUCACCCAAAAUAAUGCUUUGUUGGUGACCUUUAAUAGUGAAACAUAUAUCUGGUUUCACCUUUAGGCUAUUAACUACAUUGUCAAUAUUUCUACUCCUAGUUGGGUGUUAACCUGUUCAAUUUGUCAGCACUGUAAUAGAAAAACUGCUCGAGCAUCUCCAAUUGGCUCCUCAAAUGAGCUCUUAGUUUCAAUAUUUUGAAAAUAUUCAAAUAAUCUGCCCCGACCAUUAUGUAUAUAGGUUCUUAAAUGCCUCAUUGUUAAUAUUCUGACCGAUUUACAGUUUGUGAUUGUGUCUCUAAGGUCUUUGCCUGUUUAUUUUCAUUCAUUCUAUAUUCUUUCUCCAUUUGUCAUCUGAAUCGAAUUUUGCAACUGACCUGUUUGAUUUCAUUAUGUAGAUGGAUCCCUCUUAUCGGCCAAGCUUAAUGCAAAAGAACAGUGGUGCAUUUAGUGUUCUGCCAUUUGCUGGGUCAGACUUGGUUUUGAGCCCUGCCCAAUGGAGCAAUCAUGUCGUGGGUACGAAUCACAUUUCCUUCGGUUGAUGAACUACAAACUCAAGAAGCAGAAGACACAGGGAAGACUGGAAGAGAUUCUGUUAUUCCAUCAGGGUGUACUGUGCAAAAGAGAUUCUUUUGUUCCCUGUGUUUUCUCCUUUUGUGCAUCUAAUGUUCUCCAUUUUCUUGUUCUUCUAUUUUUUUUUGUUCCUUUCACUUUUCUCCGUACCUUUCCUUGCAUACUAAUACCUUGCCUGCUCAUAGUGGAUUUUUGAAAACUUUCAGGAAAAAUUAGCUCCUGGAUUGACUUAGAUUCUGAAGACGAGAUCCUCCGAAGCGACUCAGAAAUUACAUUGAAGCAGGAGGUAGCAUGGGCGUCUCAUUUGUCCCUGCAGGUCUGUAUAAUCUGAAUUGUUUUUCAUCAAAUAUUUUGCAUUGCUUAAACAGGACACGUAAUAUGUCCUGUGUACUUAUCUACGCCAAAUUAGUUUUGAAGUUCAUUAACUGAAUCCAUUUUCUGUGAUGGCAUUUUAAAUGUCAUGUAUUACUUGUGCAGGCAUGUCUUCUUCCACCUCCAAAGGGAAAGUCAUGUGCGAAUUAUGCUAGGUGUGUAAAUCAGAUUUUACAGGGUCUACAAAGUAUGCAGGUGAGUACCUUUCGUUGUCAUAACCUGUUUAUUGUAUUUCCCUGUGUUUUCUGCUUCUCGAAUUUCCUAAUUACAUUUCCUGUUAUUUAGUUGUGGCUGCGGAUUCCUUUGGUCAAGACUGAUAAUGAUACAGCUUCUGUUAACGCUGAUAAUUUGGUGAGUUGCCCCUUUUUUGUUGAGGUUGUUGAUUUUGCGUGGAACUUCAGAUGGUAAUCAUCCUAUGUAUCUUGUAUUUCCCAUCCAGGAGGAUUCUUGGGACACUUGGAAUUCAUUUCGUCUACUAUGUGAACAUCACAGUCAAUUAUCAGUUGUCCUUGAUGUUCUGUAAGUUCAACAUUGACCAUCCUCAUUCAUUUCGACUAAAUUGUGAUCAUUCGACCAGAGUUUGAUACUUUUUUUUUAAUUCGUUAGGAGUUCACUACCCUCUGCAAAUUCACUUGGGCGUUGGUUUGGGGAGUCUGUCCGAGCAGCCAUAUUCAGUACUGAUGUAAUCAUAUGCUUUAGACUGUUGGUUUUCUUAUGAUCAGCAAAUGUUACUUGCUGCUUGGUGGUUCAAUGGUAAGCUAAUUUUGUAACAAUGUUCUUGUUGAUUCUACAGUGCUUUCUAACAAAUGCACGAGGUUACCCAUGUCUGUCAAAACGCCACCAAAAGCUAGUUUCUGGGUUUUUCAACCAUUCUAUACAGGUAUUUGUGAAGAAUUUGUCAUCAGUUGACAAUAUUCUUUGUUACAUCAAAGUUUCGUCUCUUCUUUCCCUGCAGUUUCAAAAUAAAUCACCUUCCAACCCUGUACUUUAGGCCUUGAGGAAGAUAUCUCGAGUGAUAUAUCCGAAUUUAUAUAUCUAUAUUUUUUUUUGGUUAUCAACAAAACUAUUUUGUCAUGAUACUUUAAAAUAUGGGAUUGGUGAAUAUAGUAGAAUGAAUUUGAAUGGAUCCUACUUGUUUGGAUACUGGUAUUGAGGCAAAAGGAUUUGUUUGAUUGAAUAUAUCAAAGGGAUAUAACCUGCUUUUCUUUCCUUCAAUUGGUUCUUUCGCCAUUGUCUAUAUUUAGUUUUUUACCUAACUAAAGUGAAUCUUUCCUUUUUUGCUAAUUUUCUCAAUUCUUUUGAUCUAAUUUUCACUUUACUAAUCUUUGUCAUGUGAUUUUCAGAUAGUUUUAUCAGGACAAUCUGUACACAGUCUUACCAAUAUGAAUUCAGACUUAGCUGCAAAUAAUAAUGAAAACAAUGUUGAUGGUAAGAUCUAUGUGCAGUUUAAAAAUGUAUGAUCCUUAAUACUUCUACUUAAGCAUACACUAUUUCCUUGAAAAAUUAAAUCAGCUGGUUGAGCCAGAAAAGCUUAAGCUACUAUUUUGACAGCAAUCAUUUCAUAAGUGCUUAUGAGUGAUUGUUACCAUUUGCAUUUUCAGAAAAUAAAAGAGAAGAAACUUUCAUAAUGAUUUUUAAUGAAAUGAGCUUUUAUUAACUCAAGCAUUGAUGUUCAGUUCCUCUUUUUUAUGUUUACCUUUCUGAAGAAGAAUUCUUGACAUUCAGGUGUACAGAAACAUCCCUUGAGACCUUAUUUGGAUUAUGUUGGCUAUCUCUACCAAAGGAUGGAUCCACUUCCUGAGCAAGAACGGUUUGUAGGUCUCUCUCUCUCUCUCUCUCUCUCUCUCUCACUCACUUUCAUUAUCUUUGUUUGACUCUUCUAUUCUUAUGCAGCUUGGUUACAGGGAUUUCUUGCAGUCACCUUUACAGGUUUUCUUCUUUGCCUACUGCUCUGUUGGAUUAUUUUUCCUUUAGUAAUUUCUUUCUUGAUUGUGUCUAGUGAUUUGAUUCGAUAUUACAAUGCAGCCACUCAUGGAUAAUCUAGAGGCUCAGACUUAUGAGACAUUUGAAAAGGAUACAACAAAAUAUAUUCAGGUACUUGUUAAUUGAAUUCUGUAAUUAUCAUUUUAGUUAGUUGUAUCCUUUUGAGGAGCUUUAUAUAAUAUGUUAUUUUUUCAUUGUUAGUACCAAAGGGCAAUUGCCAAAGCUUUACAGGACAGGGUUCCAGAUGAAAAGUCUUCUACAGUAACCACUGUAAGCUGCUUGCCUGUUAAUAAUGUGGUUUAAUGGUUAUUUAUUAAGUUUGUGGCAUUGCUUAUAUGAUUUAUUUUUUUUCAUUUGUGGCAAGGUAUUAAUGGUUGUAGGAGCAGGACGUGGGCCUCUAGUUAGGGCAUCACUGCAGGUGGCUCCCGCAGUCUCUUACAUACUUGUCGUUGGACUUUUUCUGUAUAAGCAAACUGGGUUUAUGUGGAGACAAUUUAAACAUUUUUAUUGCUUCUGUUCGUGUAUAGGCAGCUGAAGAAACUGGGCGCAGGCUUAAAGUUUACGCCGUGGAAAAAAAUCCAAAUGCUGUAGUUACACUUCAUGUGAGUUUAAAUUCUCCCUAUUGCAACUUGAUUUUGACACCUUGCAAUUGAAUAUUCCUGGGUGUGCAAGUGUUUGAAGUCUUCCUCUGUGAUGGUGCAACAUUUCAUAUAUUGAUGUCUGUUUUUUGGAACAGAGCUUGGUUAAACUAGAGGGGUGGGAAAACAUUGUUUCCAUAAUUUCAAGCGAUAUGAGACAUUGGGAUGCUCCUGAGAAAGCUGACAUUUUGGUAAGCCAGUAUUCUUAUGGUUAGUUAGAUUUCAUGUGUUUUAAUUUUAUGACUUAUUUGUUUGUGAUGUUAAUAUUCCCUUUAAUUACAUCAGGUUAGUGAAUUAUUGGGUUCUUUUGGUGAUAAUGAGCUGUCUCCUGAGUGUCUUGAUGGAGCGCAGAAAUUUUUGAAAGAAGAUGGAAUCUCAAUACCUUCCUCGUAUGUAAAUAUUUGAUUUCUUUCUCUUUUUGCCCUCAUAGUUUGUUGGAUUAAUCAGAUUCUUCAGAACUCUGGCUUGUCUAAAAAUCUGAUAUGCCUCAUAUCAGGUAUACGAGUUACAUCCAUCCAGUGACUGCUUCAAAGCUUUACAACGAUGUAUGCUCACAUCCUUGUGCCCAUCAUUUCUUAGUUUGUCUAUUUCAGACUUUUUUGGACUUGAUAGUUGUGAUUUUUUUUAUUCUUGCAGGUUAAGGCACAUAAAGAUGUUGCACACUUUGAAACUGCUUAUGUUGUUAAAUUGCACAACAUUGCUAGACUGGCUCCUCCUCAACCCGUGAGUUUUUCCACACCACUCAUCUUUGAUAUUAGUUCUCAGUUUUAGUUCACUUGUUUGUGUUACUUUCGACCCUUGUCUAGGGUUUUUAUCAUCUGAUAUUGUUUCCAAUAAACAGGUGUUCACGUUCACCCAUCCAAACCGAUCAAUUGACAAAAGCAAUAGCCGCUACACGAAGUUGAAGUUUGAAAUAUCUGGUGAUACUGGGUCUGCUAUGGUUCAUGGUAUGUGUUGCUUCUUGUGAGUGUGCUCAAAUUCUCUGAUUGUGUGCCAGGAUGACUCUUGUGUGAUGUAAUUAAAAAAUUUAAUGAAUCAUGUUAUAAUAUAAAUUAACACUGAAAGGCCAAUCUUUUGCUAUAAAUUCUUCUUCGUCUCUGUAUGAUGUCAUAUUAGUUGUGGCCUAAAACAAAAGCUCCACUAAACGAAUUAUAAUGACAAUCGUUUACAAUCUAGGAGGUUAAAAUAUGUGAUGUAAAGAGGGUGAGUGAAUACACGUAUAACAAUUCAAAUAUGAUGGUUUUGCUCUACUCUGCACCCUUGAUUUUUAAGAUUGCAAGUAAAUUUGUUAUUUUAAGUAGACCAGUGAACCAUCUGAAUAUGUAUAUGCUGGGAUGGAAUUAUGAUGUUUAUAUCAUUGAUAGAAUUUGAUAUAUCAUGAUAUCUUACUGACUUUCCCCUGUGGCUUUUAGGAUUUGCUGGCUACUUUGACUCCACACUGUACAAAGAAGUUCAUCUUGGCAUUGAACCAGCAACAUCAACACCAAACAUGUUCAGCUGGUUUCCCAUAUUUUUCCCAUUAAGGACACCAGUUUGUUUGAGUCCUGGUUCCUCUCUUGAAGUACAUUUUUGGCGUUGUUGUAGCCCUUCCAAGGUGAUUAUACUGUUUCUGAGUUUGUGGUCUUUGACUUGUAAUGAGUUAUUAAUCUGUACCUAUGUAAUGUGAUUCAGGUCUGGUACGAAUGGGGAGUGGCAUCACCCAGCAGUUUACCGAUUCACAACAGCAAUGGACGUUCUUACUGGGUUGGACUUUAAGCGGUUCUGGUUUUAGAUGUUGAUCAUAGUCAAGUUCUUUAUCUGCCUCGACGUGGUACAUAUAUACCCACCGAAAUUCUAGGUGGGCAAAAGUUUGUACCCAUAAUAUAUACCCAAUAGUUUGUACCAUAGUAUGAAUACUGUAUGCUCUUGUUGCAUGUAUCCAUAGACAUUCUUUGAACAAGUUGGGCAAAAGUUUUGACCUUUGUUAACAAAUAGUUAUAGCAAUGUCUCUUCUUUUACUCCACUUAAAUUUGGUCAUGGUUGGAUAUAUUUUCCUUUUCUUUCUGGAUGUAGUCGGUUUUAGCCUAAAGCAUGCUUGUACCAUAAUGCUAAACAUAUUAAAGGUGGCUCUCGAUUUUGAAAGUAAUCUGCCUCCGCCCUUCAACAUCAGGAUUGGGAACAACACCCAGAGAACACCAUGGGUGAUGUCAUAAUCGUAUUCAUCUUCGAUCUGGUUCAUAAUGUUACAUUAUUAUGCUAAACAGUAGUUAAUUCAUAUUAAAUGUGUUGCUAUAUAUAUAGACCAUAUUCUAGCUAGGGUUGCCAUUAACGUAGGAGGUAGAUACGUCCCUGGCUGUCCAUUUAAUUCAGUCAAGAAGUAGAAAGAGGAUAGUUACAUCCGAACUGAAGAAAACUACAAGAAGUAGAAAGAAGAUGGUAAGAAUGGUAAAGAGCUAGGAAAAUUGUUUUGAAGAGCUCACCCAUUUCCAGCGAAGUCAUGUUGGAACCAAAUUAAAACAGCUCCUCUCAACACACUGAUCAUAGAAUACCUACAAAUUACAAACUUUUUUCAACAAUCACCAGUGAUAUAAUUUCAUGGCACAAAAUAAGGAAGAAAGAGCUGUGUUGUCCCUUUGAGGAACCCAACGAGCUCUUGUAAUGUCCCCACAAGCUUCUCCCCAUGGCCGUUUUCUAUGACAACUCUCCGCUUCUGAAUCCCUGCACUUACACCAAUUCAUGUAAAGACUCCUUUUGUAAUCUAAAACUGUUAGAAACCAAGAGGAAUAUAUGAUCAAUUAAGCUCAAACUAAAUACUGCGUAUUGUGAAAGAUGGUUGCUUUAAUCGACCAUGUAUCAGAUUGCAGCCCGUGUUAAAUGGAGGGCCCCCAACCCGUUUAGGCCCACGUGACACCUGACCGCCUAGACGCAGCCCGUGUCCGUCUAGCCCAUAUGAUCCGUUUUAUUCCUUUUAAAUGAGGGACCCCGCGGUAUGUAUAGGCCCAUGACACUAUGGACCGCCUAGACGCAGCACGUGUCCCCUGACCCCAUGAUUUUUUUUCUUUUUCUAUUUUUUAUUUAUAUUUAUUUUCCUUUCAAAUCUGAGAAAAGGUUUUAGAUAUUUUUCUCUUCCUCUCCUCUUAUAAGAGAGAGCAAACACAUCUCGUCGCGCUUUCUAGUUUUCCUCUCAAAUUCAUUUAGGGUUUCGUCGCUAAACUCAGAUUCCGAUAUGUACAACGGCAUAGGGUUACAGACUCCGAGAGGGUCAGGAACCAAUGGCUACAUCCAGACGAACAAGUUCUUCAUCAAAUCCAAGACCGGCAAGGCCGACGGUAACUCCCGAGGCUUUGAAGGCGACCAAGGCAUGGCCGGCGUCUCCAAGAAGGCGAACCGUGACAUCCUCGAGCAUGACCGCAAGCGCCAGAUUGAGCUCAAGCUCGUCGUGCUGGAAGACAAGCUGACCGAUCAGGGAUUCACCGACGAUGAGAUCGCCGAGAAGGUCGCCGAAGUUAGGAGGACUCUCGAAGCCGCCGCCGCCUCGGAGGAGAUGGGCGGGCCCACUGCCAUUGUUCUCGGAGGAGAUAAGAAGUAAGAGAUUCACAAUCCUCAAUAAUCUAAUCUCGUUUUGUUUUUCUGCAGUGCUUAGUUGGUAGAUUAAUUAAUCUGUUUCCGGUGUUUUUGUAUUGUUUAAUAAUCUUAAGAAGUAAUUUGAAGCAUGAUUUCGGUUUUUGAUAGCUCAGGUAGCAUGUGUUAUGUUAUUGAUUGAUGAUGCAAGGUUUUGUUGCUGUGUAUGAUUUUCGGUUUUUAUUUUUCGGCUCUUGUAGUUGUAGUUAUAUAGGCUAGAUCUGAUCAUAUCGACUACGCUCUUAGUUAUGGUGUAUUGAUUGACACUGUAUAUUUUGAACAGGGUUUCGGAUACACAGACCCACCAGAUUGCAGCUAGGAAGGAGAAGCAGAUGGAGAACCUAAGAGAUGCUCUUAAGCUAAAGCCUGAAGUUACAGAAACAAAUGCUGAGGAGAUUGAGGAGGGAAUGAUAAUUAGUCCGAGGAAUGAUGGUAGUAGGUAUUAUGAGAGGAAAGAGCAUUCGUUUUUGGAUAGGGAUAAUGGGUGGAAGAAGUCUGUGGAGGAGAAGCAGAAGGUUGAGAAAGAUAAGAAAAAGAGUCUGAAGGAGUCUAGGCGGACGAAAAAGAAAGGAAGCAGGAAGAGAAGGCAUAAGGAUGAUUCUUCUGAUACAGAUAGCAGUGGUAGCCCUCUGAAACCUGAUAAGAAGAAAAAGCGUUGUAGUAGAAGUAGCAGCAGUGAAGAAGAUGAUUCUGAAGUUGAUACAUCGAAGAAGGUUGAGAAAUACAAUAAGAAGAGGUAUGAUUCAGAAGAAGAUGAUUCAGAUGUUGAUGUUGAUAAGAAGCGGAAGGUUGUAAAGAAGCAUAGUAGAAGCCGAGACGAUAGAGCUGAUGAUUCUGAUACCAGUGAGGAUGCGGGGGAUAGAUCCAGAAAGGAAAUUAAGAAAUCCAAACAACCUCGUAGGAGGCAUGAUUCAGAUGAAGAUGAUUCUGGAGAUGAUGUUGACAAGAAGAAAAAGGUUGUAAAGAAGCAUAGUAAAAGGCGAGACGAUAGAGCUGAUGAUUCUGAUACCAGUGAGGAUGCGGGGGCUAGAUCCAGAAAGGAUAUUAAGAAAUCCAAACAACCUCGUAGGAGGCAUGAAUCAGAUGAAGAUGAUUCUGGAGAUGAUGUUGACAAGAAGAAAAAGGCUGUAAAGAAGCAUAGUAAAAGCAGAAACGAUGAUACUGAUGAUUCCAGUGCCAGUGAAGAUGCCAAAGAUAGAUCCAUAAGGGAAGUCAAGAAACCCGAACAACCUCGUAGGAGGCAUGAUGCAGAUGUAGAUGGUUCUGAAGAUGAUGGUGACAAGAAAAGGAAGGUUGUAAAGAAGCAUAGUAAAAGCAGAAAUGAUGAUACUGAUGAUUCUGCUGCCAGUGAAGAUGCCGAGGAUAGAUCCGCAAAGGAAGUCAAGAAAUCACAACAACCUCGCAGGAGGCAUGAUUCAGAUGAUGAUUCUGGUUAUCCUGAAGAAUUGCCGAAGAGCAGAAUUGAAAAGGGCAAACAACAUGUGAAACCAAACAAAAGGCAUGACUCUGGGCAUGAGGCUGAUCUUGACAGCAGAAUGGAAAGGAAAAGUAGCCAAAUUGAGCUGCAAAGAAAUCAUCAGGGCAUCCGCAGGGUAGAUAAAGAUGAUUCUGACUAUGAAAGAUCCAGAAAGAGUAGAGGUGCAAUAGCAGAAAAGAGUAGAAGAAGUGGCAGAAAUGAUACUAAUGAUGAUGAUACUAAUAUUGGGAGGAAACCUGGAAGGGUUGAAGAUGUUGAUAGUGAAUCUGACUAUGAAAGAUCCAGAAAAAGUAGAGGUGCAAUUACAGAAAAAAGUAGAAGAAGUGACAGGAAUGAUGCUAAUGAUGAUACUAAUAUUGAGAGGAAACCGGAAAGGGUUGAAGAGGGUGAUGGAGGACGUGGAAGGCACUACAAUGGUGAACUUCAAAGAGGAAGGAAGCAUGAAAGAGAUGAAGUGGACCAUGAUUAUAGAAGGCCCAGGGAAGGUCUGGAACAGGGUCUUGAAAGUAGAAAGCGAGGUAAUAGAGAGGAAAAGGGGGCAAAUGAGGAUAUUGAGAGGGAUAGACAUAUGGAUUACAAGAGAGCAAAAUAUGAUGAGUCUAGAUCAAGUGAGAGGAGAAGGCAUGAAACUGUCAGACAUAAUGAAGAUGGGCAGAAGUCUAGAAGGCAUGGAGAAGAUGAAGGGGAGCGUAGAUACAGAAGACAUGAAAACCUGGAGGAACAACGGGAAAAUAAGGAGACUGAGAGAGAUAGACAGGAUUCCAGAUCAAGUGAGAGAAGAAGGUACGGGAAUGACAAGCACAAUGACAGUCGGUCUAGGCAUCGUGACUAAUUCUAUGGUAUGUUGUGCUAUCCUCUGUCGAUCUUAACAUUCACUAUUUGUGUGAGAUCAUAUCAGCAAACUACUACAAAUGUCAUGACGUUCCCAUUCAAGCAUCCAAAACAACUUUUAUUCAAUAGAAAUGUGUGCAGUCAUGUCAUUAUUGGUUGGAUUUAUUGUGUCUUAAGAAUGUCAGUCCUGAGUCUUCUUUUCCUUGUAUCAAUGUUUGAUUCUUUGCCGCUCUUUUGUUUCUGAUCUACAUCAUUAUCACAAUGUAACAUUCAUUUGCUUAUAUUUGUUGCAGGUUACAGGGCCUCAAAGCUUUCAUAACUGAUCAAAUUGUGUACUCUUAGAGCUGCACUUUGUUCCCCUGGUGACGGAGAUGGAGUUGUGGAUGAGUGUAUGGUUGGCAUAUUGAAUUCUACUGUUUUUCUUUGGUCUGUAUGAGAUCUUGUAAUACAGUUUAAAACUCUUUGUGUGAGGCUGGUCGACCUGGAAUACUAUAAUCUGUUUUGUUAUUCUGUAUGGAGACUUUGAAAUCUGAAUGUUGGCCUCAUUAGCAGGAUGGGUUUAUCAAUUACUGUUAUUUCUUGUGCUGCAUUCUAGGGUAGUUUGUUAUGAGAUUUCAGAGGAGAUGUUUCUUGACUUUUUUCAGUGAUUUUUUUUUUUUUGGCGAGAGGAAACAACAAAGAGAAAGAAAAAAACAAAAACAAAAUAAAGAAAAACAGGGGCAGACUGCUAAUGAGGACACGGCAGUUCAUCAUACACCAGAAUAUUCAUCAAGGAGGAAGGAGGGUUCGACACCCAAUCUGAGGGGCAAGAAUCCGAUAGGGCAAGGGCAGCGACGCAGUCUGCUGUACGAUUUGCCUUUCUACUGGUCCAUAACCAGCUGAUUUGCCGGGUUGAGGAGAGGUACCGGGCUUGAGCAAAGAGGUUUGCAACCCUCCAAUCUGAAGGAGGGGUUCUUGAGAUCAUGGCGUUGAUGAGGAUUUAAGAAUCAGAGGCAAAAACAACCGGGCAUGGGUUCAGAUUGCUUAACAACAAAAGACCAUCGCAAAUUGCGAUUAGUUCUGCUUCUAGAGGAGAUCGAGUGAGGGCGACUCCAGAGUGACCAGCAAUCAUCGCACUAUUGUUGUUUCGAACAAUUACCGCCAUACCUGCAAUUUUUCAGUGAUUGAAAGUCCAUUCAUCCCUGUAAGUUGAGCCUGGAAGAGCGUGACAUGUUGAUAAGAUAAUAAUCGCAUAGUGUAUCCUACACAAUCUUGAAAUUGAAGAAUUCAUCAAAAUCUUCCUGGACUGUCAUAGCAAGUAAAACAGUUGUAUUUUAAAUCCGAAGGUAUUUGAUUUGAUCUAGGCAUUACAUAGUUGGGUUCGUAAACAUAGUUGGCCAGUUAGCUACAGAGCUUAAGUUGUUGGGUUUGAGAAUUUGUUUAAAAACAUAUUACUACCAGAACCCAUAACUCAUCUCUGCUAAGCUUUAUUUUGAACCAGAAACUGCAGGUGAACACCUUCCAAGUCCUGCAGCUUUCAAAUCCAAAAGUUCUCAAAAAAUCAAGGAUGGAGGUAAGUAACAUAACCAAGCCUCUUGUAUUCUGUAUUUGAUUUUCUUUAGUAUCAACUAUAAACCUUAUAUGUUAAACAAAACAAAAUAAAAUAAAUAAAAUUAAAAUAUAUAAUUAAAAUAAAUUAUAUCGAGAAAAUAUCGAAAAUCGAUAACAAUUUUAUCAAAUUUUUAUAUAAACAUGUUUAAUCUAUUUUUGGUUAAAUAUACCAUGUUUAUAUAAAAUAUGAUAAAAUUUCUAUCGAUAUUUGAUAUUUUCUCAAUAUAAUUUAUUUUAUUUUGUUUUGCUUAACAGGUAGCUCUAAAAAUAUAUAUACAUACAAGAGUUCUAUUAACUUUUAUCACUAUUGUUGCAAAAAUAAAUAUUUUAAUUUGAAGUUUUUUUUUUUGAGUAUUUUUGCUAAAGUAAAUUGUUCUAUUUGUAUUUGAUAACCUCAAAAAAUAAAUUAUUUUGUUAAAGUAAAUGUAAAAAAUGAUAUAUUUAUUGUAAUGACGAAAAUACCCUCAAAAUUUAACAGUGUUAGUGGUUAGGGUAUCCAAAUACUAACAAAAUGAAACUUCGGGUAUGAAAAUGUAAGUUUUUAAUAGUUAGGUAUGAAAAUAAAAAUAGCAUCAUAGUACGGAUGAUGUUUUGUAAUUAAUCCAAGAAGGAAUGAACAUAAAACAUGCAUAGGGCAGCAAGACAAAUAACAAAGUCAUUGCACUCUUCAUGUUCAUUGAAAUUAAUAAGUUUCAGGACAGAAAAUUAUGAACAAAUUUAGUGAAGAAGCCAUGAAGAUCUUGAUUUUUUUUAUUUUUUUUAUUUCGAUUAAUAAUUGAUAUGCUUCUAACUUUGGACUGUUUUCAACCAUGUAUUAAAAGUAAAAGAAGUUGUCAAACAAAGUGACUUCUAAGGCCGUUGGAAAACCUCCUACAAAAGCACAGGAAAACGCUUAAACCCAAAAUGACAUCUAACAUUAAUUCUCAAAUACGUGGCUGAAACAUUUCAAAUGCCAAGACUCCAGUAGAGGCUUUGUCCAUUACAUAUCUAAAAUUUAUUCUCUAUAGCCUCAUCAUAUCCAUUAAAUAUGAGGGGAUACAAUGGUCAGCUUGCAUAGUGUAUAACUGUUCGUAUAGAAAAAUAAAUAGACUCUGAUGAACAAAUGAUGCUGCAUUGGCUAUAUUUGAUGCUUCAUUAAAACAAAGUAAGAAACUUCUUAUACUAUUAGUUUCUUAUGUAUUUCAAAUGCAAUCACUUAAAAGUAGAGUUUUCAGCUUAUGGAAACAACAGAGAACUUGCAUUUACCCUCUUUCAAUGACUAGUUGGAAACAUUCAUUCUUACCAAUAUAAAACACAAAACCAUUCUCUAAGACUUUAAAGUUUUCAAGCCAUCAAGAAAUUUGCAUUAAAAAUUAAAAUUACAUUAUUCGUAAGAGAACAAAACUUUAAGACUAUACCAAACAGAAAGAUACAAACAAACCACCAAGAAAGUUGUUCAGUUGUGAUUUGAUGUAGUUGAAAGGUUUAAAAUUCAUAUACAAUGUGAAAUUCAAAAUUGAAUCAGAAUAUAAAUUCAUAGAAGACAAUGAAAAACGAAGAAGAGCAUAAACUAAAAUCAAAGAGAGAAAAAAGAAUAAGUUGGUAGCGGAUUCAAAUUACCCCUGUGCCAACAAAAAACCUUUGAGCCUUAGACUUUUGUUUUAUUUUGAAGCCUUGGAUUCCUUCAACAACGCCACCACUCCUCAAUUCUCGCUUUCCUAGAACAAAACCUUCCCCGUGAACGUGAAGACUGUGGUGAAGGUCUCAUGGACUUCGCAGCAUCGAGAAGUUGAGAUACGAAUGUCUCAUGGAAGAGUAUCAUAACUGUCUGAAUGUCUCAUUGAAGAGUAUUUUAACUGUCAGAGAAGGCCUACAACACUAAGGAACGAAACAUAAGUCUGCGCGCACUGCGCAGCACAAGAACUUAUGAGAGGGGAGCAAAUUUUGACGGUGAUUUCAUACUGCUACUUGCCUAAUCUAGUUCAAUUUAUAUGUAGAAGGUGAUGAGGUUCAGCAUGAUAUAUAAAACUAUUUCUUAGUUUAAUUUCACCGAACUGAUGACAUAGCUCAAAGAAUUGACUUUUUUACACAAAGGAGGUGUGUAAUUGACCCUUGACGAUAAUCAUCUUGAAGAAAUUAAACUACAAUCGUGAAAGGAUUUCAGGUUUUAGCUGGAGUAGAGAUAUUUAGACAUUUUCCUAGUCCGAUAAGGAAGCCGUAUUACACCGGGAAACAAAAUAGCAUACACACACGAUAUAAACAUCACUCAACCUGUAAUGAUGAUCGAUAAAAGUCAUAGAAGUAUGUUGAAAAGAUUGAAAUCAUCGUCGUCGAAGCUUUUCUUGAUGAGCAUUCUUCGACCAACUGAACACGAAAAAAAAGGUUCUUCGCUGUAAAGCUAUAACGAUGAGAGAUGUCAAUUUUCAGUGAGGACAAAUUUCCUCGCAAAUAACGUAUUGUAGUGUCCAUUUCUUCGCUUAAUAUAGUGUUGGAUGAGGAUAAUAGAGAAGUAGCGCUAGUACUUAGAAAAUGGGAACAAGUUAGGGGGAUGAUGAUGGUGAAGAAGAUGAGGAUUUGGUAAGCUGCAAUCUCUCGACGACUUCUCUCUUGAAGACUUCGACAACUCUGAAGAGUUUCGACUGCUGGUUUCGCUUGCCGGUAGAGAAUCCAGCCGCUGCAAAAUACUAUUUAGGGAUAUUUAGGGAAAGUCUGCUCUUUGAAUGUUUGACCUUGCACCUAUUUCAAAAGUAGCUUGUAAAUAAAUUUGAUGAUAUAUAGUUUAUAUAGACAUAACUCUUCUUUAUCAUAUUAUAUAUAGUGUUGUGGUGUGUUGUGUGAAAAUGUUUAUAAAUAACUUGUGACAUAUACUUUAUGUGGACAUAACUCUUUAUUAUUAUCUUAUAUAUAGUAUUUUUUUUUUUUUUCCCAUUGUGAUAUAUAUAGUUUAGUGACGUGGAGAUGUAAAUUUGCUCCCCACCCAUACUUUCUCACCAUCAUCCCUACUCACCUAGUUGAACGCCACAUGUCCUAUCUUUUAAUCAUACUAACCAUAGUUAACAACAUCCAAUUAUAACAAUAAAUUAUAUUAUCUUCUAAAUUUACUUUUUUUUUUUGGGUAAUCAUCUCCUAAAUUUACUCUAAUUAAUCUUUUUUUUUUUUUCUAAACAAUUUUAACAAAGUCUAACAAAUUUAUUAUGACUCCUCCUAGUGUCGUUGUUAUCGACUCAGGUCACUGGGUUUCUUCCUUGUCCUUAUAUCGCUUUCUAAUUUUAUUUUUUUAGCGUCUGAAUGCUACUCCUAAUUUUUUGUUUAGCAUUAAUGCUAGUGCCAAUAUAUAUAUAUAUAUAUANNNNNNNNNNNNNNNNNNNNNNNNNNNNNNNNNNNNNNNNNNNNNNNNNNNNNNNNNNNNNNNNNNNNNNNNNNNNNNNNNNNNNNNNNNNNNNNNNNNNNNNNNNNNNNNNNNNNNNNNNNNNNNNNNNNNNNNNNNNNNNNNNNNNNNNNNNAGUGGGUAUUUCAAAUAUGUCGACUUGGUAAUUAUUCUUUCAAAAAAACACUCAGACGUUAUAUAUCUUUGUUGAUCGAUCUUGAGGAGUCUUAAAUUUGUUAGGCUUUGUUAUUUUGUUUAGAAAAAGAAAAAGAAAAAAGAGUGAUUUAAAGUAAAAGAUAAUAUAAUAUAUUGUUAUAUAUAAAUGUUGUUAACCAUGGUUAGAGUAAUUAAAAGAUAUGACAUGUGACAUUCAACUAGGUGGGUAGGGAUGAGGGUGGGAAGCAAAUUUGCAUCCGUGAUAUGAUGUGGUAUAAAAAGUUGUAAUAACGCUUGAUGGUCUCGAUCGGAGUGAGUUCUUUGCUUUUCUUUGACGCCUACUCUCUGCUUGUGCUCCUUGUGCUUCUACUACUACUUUUUCUUGCUAGUGGCGGUGGAGGUGACGGUGCGUGCGACGUUUGUUGUUUUUUAAGUUCAACAACUAAACUUUUCGGUUCAAUAAAGUUUUUGGAUGAAUAUAUAAAUAUAUAUAUAUAUAAAUAUAUGUAUACAGUUCUUAUCCAGAACAAAGCUUCGCUUGUUCCCUGCUAUUUUUGACUUACUUUUCGGUCAUAUUUCCACAUCUCAAUUGUUGAGUUUAUUGAUACUAAUGUAUAGAUCAUUCAAGCAAAAUUUCAUCUAAAUUGAUGAUCGUUUGGGUACCGAAUUAGAUUAAAUCAAUGAACGAACUAUAAAUCUAUCUAACCAGAGCUGUUUAUGUAAAUAACGAUUACGAAAACCCAAACGAUCUUCAAAUUUGAUGAAACUUUGCAAAAAUGAUCUAUGCAUUAUGUUAUACAAACUGAACGGUGUAGAUGUGAAAAUAUGACCGAAAAGUGAGUCAAAUAAGAAACUUCACACUUUAAUUUCAAAACGAAGCUUCUCUUUGACAUGGGUAAGAACUAUAUAUAUAUAUAUAUAUAUCAUAACAAAUAUCGUAUAUUGUUCAUGAAAAAAGAACGAGAUAUUGUGUACAACUUGAUGGCAACAAUUGCGGAUAAACAAAUAAUGUGAUUAAUUAAAUAAAAUUGCUUAACUUCGCAAAGCUUGAUAAUAUGUAGUUAUUAACAGUCGAUGUACAAUAGUUUCAUUGACCCACUUGGUCGUAGUUAAUAUGGCACAUUUGAGAGAAGGCUCGCUGGUUCGGUGGGUGCGAAAAGUUUGAGUUCAAACCAAGAGUUGAAGAGUAGGCUGUAACUUUCGAAAUGAACCCAAAAUAAUUGUUCUCUAACAGCUUUCUUAAAGUUUCUUUAAAGUGGGAAAGAAAAUGUCAAAAUCUUCAAAAAAAAAAAGAGAAGAAGCUUCAAAUCCAACUUUUUGCCCAUUUUAGAGAUUUUCGUAUUUAUUACAACAAUAAAAUAUUAUAUAUCUUGAUUAAUUUUAACAAAAAUAUAUUCUACUAUACAUUUUGUUAUAACAAUAAGAUAUUUAAUAAAAUAUUCUAUAUUUUUGUUGGAGCACUUGAAGAAUUUAUGAUGAUUUUAAUUUGGGGAAUUAAGCAUUCUCUUAAGCAUUUGCUAAAAAUUUGGGGAAGACUCAUUCUCUUUCGUCUUCAUCCCUAAUUUAGAGAAUGAGAUUGGAAAGUUGUUGGACUGAAAACAAAUCUAAUAUUCUUCAAAAUAGAGAAAAUAGAGAAAAUGAAGAAGUUGUUAGAGAUGUUCUAACAAAUAUGCAAAGUUGUAAUGUAGCUCUUCAAUCACCUUCUACUACUUUCUCCUUUUCUUCCAAAUGAGCCCUCCUACGGUUCAAUAAAGUCAAGAACCCACCCACCCAUGAUGAUCAUUCAAAUAUAAACAUACUCUUAGGGUUUAUGGUAUUGAAUUGAAUUAGGUACGUUGGUCUAAUAUACACAUACUUGUACUCGUAUCGUAUUUGAGUUAUGAACACAAAUAUUUGAAUUACUCGUACUCUUACGGGUCAAAUAGAAAGACUUUAAAAACAAAGUACAAUCAAUAAUUAAGAUUUCAUAAUAAAAUCUUUUACAAGGGUCAAAUCCUUUUUUCACUCAUUCAAGUUUCUUUAUAUAUUACAAUAACUAUAAAUCUAUAUGUCACACAUGAAUGGUGCUAGGCGUCCGACGACAUCCACACAAGCACCAGAUCAGAAACACCGCUACAGAUGUCACAACCAUCAACCCCAAGUCCAUCCACAUCACCAUCUUCAGGAACUGCCAAGGAAUAGCCUGGUACAUAGACCACCUAUAACCCGGACGCAUGGUGCCCAUGUAGGGAGGCACCGCCCACUUGAACCCAUGUCAUACUAAUACCUUAACCAGUAACCACAAGAAAGUACAAAAAAAGAUAGUCGUCCAGGCAUGAUAAAUAAGAAAAACUAUAGGUAAGCAAGGACACAUCCGUGUUUCUCCUACUCCGUUGCAUACGCAGCUAUCCAGGCUUUGUGCUGAAUCAAACCAACUAUUAGUUGGUUUUGACUAUAGGACCAUAAUGGUCGAUAUCCCCGCGCCAAGUAUGGAGAGUAUAUCACCUGGGCCCAUGGUAGGGGGACUGUCGAGAAAAUACCAAAAAUAUACCCUAACUAUUCACCAUGAGAAAAUACAAAAAAAUAUAGCCAUCUAGGCUUCAAAAAUCAAAAAAACUCUAAAUAGUUAUCUAAGCACGGUGCUUUGUGUCUCUCCUGCGUUGCUGCAUACUCAGCUAUCUAUAUAUAAUUUGUGUUGGAUUAAACAGUUGGUUUUGCUAGUAUGACCAUAAUGGUCGAUAACGCCACGCCAUAUAUAGCGAGCUUAUCACAUAGGCCAAUGGUAAGGAGAACUCUGUCGACACGCGGCUCAGCGGCACGACGAAUAGGGAACCUAGCUUAAAAAAUCACUCACGUUUGGAUUCUUCAUUUGAGCGUCCCAUUUCUUCAUUUUAUAUAGUGAAGAAGAAGAGGAUUUGGUACGACCUUGCACCCAUUUUAAAAGUAGCUUGUAAAUAAAUUUGUUGAUAUAUAGUUUAUAUAGACAUAACUCUUCUUUAUCAUAUUACAUAUAGUUUAAUGUUGUGGUGUGGUGUGAAAAUGUUUAUAAAUAACUUUGCGAUAUAUACUUUAUGUGGACAUAACUCUUUAUUGUCAUCAUAUAUAUAGUUUUUUUUUCCCAUUGCGAUAUAUAUAGUUUAGUGUUGUGAUGUAUUAUGAAAGGUUUUUAUAAAAUAAAUAACAUUUUGGGGAAGGCUAGGGUGAGUUGAUGCGUAGUAUGCAUCAACUAUUUUAAAAUAUUAUAUAAAAAUGAACAACUUGUUGUAUAGGUAAAUAAGUCAUCCAGUAAUAUUGUGUCAUGUGUAAAAAAAUUACAAUUUUAAGGACUAUUUAAUUAUGUUAAACGUGAAUUGUUCAAAAACUUGUAAUGAGGGUCGUAAAUGUUGUAAUUACUUGGUUUACCACUGUAAUCACCACUAAAUAUGUUAAAUGUGGUAUUUGUAGUAAAUAUAUCAUAAAUGAUGUAAUUUACUUAAAAAAUGACUAUAAUUACAUAAAAAAGAACUAUUUUACAAGAUUAACGACUUUAUAUAAUUUAGGUCUAAUUAUUAAUAUUUACACCCACAUAAUCCACAUAUGUAUUUGAGAUAGCUGCACCCACACAAUCCACAUAUGUAUUUGAGAACAAUAAAGUGUUAUGAAGUGAGUGACUCAUUUACUCCACAAGUGUUAUGAGGUACCAUAUAUACAAUUUCUAUGGACAGUACUUCAUGCUGAAAUGACAUUAACACUAACAAAUGAAACAACAGGGUAAUGACUGGCUACACAAGUAAAUAAAAAAAACGUAGAGCUUGUUUACUUAUGUCCUUGUUAAUUUUAGUGCAUACCUCCAUUUGUCCAUUCCAGUACAUUUUUGCAGAACUGACCAAACACAGAUUUGCAUAACAAGCUACACAAGUAAAUAAAACCACUCAAAUGGCUUUCGUAGUUAACAGGUAUGAAGAUAGAUCUAGCUAGAGAAUUGUCAAGCAAUUGCCUUGAGUUUUACAAGGAAACAACUCCCUAGUCAAUUGCUUUGAGUCAAUAAUCUUCAAACUGAAUCUAAGACGACAUUAACUAAUAUUUUCCCUGUCAACAUCUAAACAAAAGAACAACAGAACCCACCAAAACAUGUAUAAGAGCAUAUGAAGUUCUUACCUUAUACUCCGUAGUCCGUACCCAAAGGAUGAGAGACGGAUCCAAUUACAGAUAAGAGUACUGGCUGGCAUACGUCGUUUUGAUACAAGAAAUUGAUAUAUAAUCAUAUCUGAUUAUAGUCUCCUUCAAAUCUUUGCCAAUAGAACAAAAAUGUACAAAAAUCAAAACCCUAAACCGAUGAAAACUAAACUAAGACGAAACAAAUAGAAACGAGGAGGUUGUAAAAUCCUGGUCGGGAAAGAAGAGAAACUUACCUACUCACUAGAAGACCAACCUCUUUCUCCUUCCUCUCCUUUUCUCUUCCUUUACUUUAGGUUUUAUCUUAGCAAAUCGGUAGAGGAACGAAACGGAACAGACUUCUUAAUCGAUCUGUUUCUAAUAAGCUAGGGUUUUCAAAAUUCUGUUUUUAUUUUUGAUUAUAUUUUUCAUAUAUAAGAUUUAAAAUUACAUGCUACCUGGUAAACAAGUUAUCAAUAUUGAAUAAUGUAAGUCGUUAGAUAUAUUUAAAGUUUUAUUAUAUCCAACAGUCAAAAAUAUUCAAAAGAGUUGAUGCAUGCUAUGCAUCAACUCACCCUAGAAUUUUUCAAAAGUUAUACCUUUGUUAUGUUUAGUAAAUACUUAGAUAUACGCGAUAUAGGCUAGUGUUUUUUUUUGUUUUUUUUAUUUUUUUAUUUUUUUUAAGGCGAUAUAUGUUAGUGUUAUUAACACACUAUUUUGUGUUAUUAACACAUCCUAUCUAUUUUCUAAUCUACAUAUUUUAAUUUUAUUUACAAACUUACCACUUGAGUUUGUUUUAUGAUUGGUUCUCAUUAUAGAUGAGCUGUGUUAAUAACACUAGCCUAGAUAUAUAUAUAUAUAUAUAUAUAUAUAUAUAUAUAUAUAUGAUUUUCUUAGCUGCGGACGUGGAUUUUCAUUUUUUUCACCACUUUUUCAAUCGAAUUUCCUCAUCUCCACUGUCUAGUAUCUAGAUAAUAUUGUGUAGAUCAUCUUUGCAAAAUUUCAGCCAAUUUGGUAAUCGUUAAGGCUCUCAAACUCAAAAAACAAAUGGACGGACUGAAUUCUGUCCGGUUCAUGUUUAUACCCGGAAUGUGAUCAAUGGUGGUGUUGGCCUAAGAAAACAAAUGGAUAUCAAGUCGGCGAUAUUCCAGGUAGAGGAUUCUGGACUUGUCUCAGUUAGUGUUUUAUGCAGAUGAUAUUAAAGUAGAGUGAUUUAUGCAUGAAAGAUAUAUUUUCGAAUUCUUGUGAAUUAUUGUUUGAUGACUUGAGAGUGAGCGGGGCAUAGCGACUUCCUUGGGUUUCGAUCCCCUAAACCUCCGGAGGGGCUGUACGGACUGGAGGACGUCUAACAUCCUUUGAGGUGUGGCGUUACCCCUAGGCGGUAUAGCGUAAAUGGACACUCUCGCUACACCUUGCCAGUGUGUACGAUAAUAAUCGUGGUAAGGUUGUAGUUGGCUUGAGAUAGAUCGGUCAUCAGGUUUGUAUAUCUACUUUGGGCCCUACUUGCAUUUUUACAAGAAAUGAUUAUUUUAAACUGUUACGCAUUAUUUUCACUACUAGCCAUGGCAAAUGUUUUAAAUUGUUUUCACACCUAGUUGAGGUAAAAUUUAUUGAGCAGCGAGGACGAAAGCUCACCUCUACAACAGUUUAUGAAUGCAGGUAUUGUGUACGGAGACGGGACAGCUAGACGGCAUUGGGUGUGGCUUAGAAAUUCUAUACUUUAUGAUAUUGUCAGCAUUAAAUCCGUAUGACAAGUUUCCUUAGUUAUCAUGUUCUUGUUUAACCCUUUGAUCGAGUAUGUGUUUAUUCGAUAAACUAGUCCUCUUGCAAGUUUUCGAUUGUUGAGCAUGAACCGGACUGAUAUUGAUUUUUAUCCAGAGAGGGCUUGUUUGAUUUGAAAGAUAUCUAAACGUUUAUAUUGUUUCACCUCAUUUUAAAAUAAACGCUUCUGCAAAUGUUUUGAAAAUUUUAAUUUUUCUUUGCCUUGCGGGUCUUAGAACCUGAGUGAUGGAUCUUAGCUUAGGUUUUAUGAAUACGCGGCACUGUAAUGUGCUCGAUUUGAUGAGGUGCAAAUCGGGGCGUUACAAUUAAGAAUGAAGGAUUUUGCAUGCGAAAACUUAAACCUCCAAUACCACGUACAUGUUAAAUUAAAUUGAAUGAGCAAUCUACAAAAUCAUAUUCACAUAUGUGCACAUACAUGAUUACAAGCUAAACAUCUUAUUAAACAAGUAACACAACAACUAUAUGACAUAGAUUCUACUUAAUCAAGAUACAUGACUGUGAGUUGGUUCGUCAAGUCUGCGAUCAGUCUGUGAUAUUGGUUUUCUCCUCAGCUCUAGCUUUCAACACCAUCUACAUGACAUGGCUGAAUGUUUUGUUGUAGCUAGAGAAAGUAUGGACCAGCAUCCUUUAUGGGGAUCAUUAAACCUAAGAAUCCUCUUGUAAUCAAGGAAUUACAACAGGAAUCCCAAUAUGUAAAACUGAUACCAGCUAAUUCAUGAAUCCUUAACCAAUUAAGACUCAUCCAAAAAGAAAAAAGGAGACUAGAUAUCCUUUACUAAAUUGUACAUACAUCUUUAAUCUAAGAAAACUAUCGUCGGUACGUAUCGAAAUAUGAGAUAGUAGACGUUUUCCUAGUCCGAUAAGGAAGCCAUAUCUCACUGGGAAACAAAAUAGCAUAUAUAUAGACACACACUCAAUCUGUAUUGAUGAUCGAUAAAAGUCAUAGAACUGAUAGAAGUAUGUCAAAAAGAUUGAAAUCAUCGUCACCACUCACCAGGACUAAGAUUGAUGAUCUCCCGGAGGUUUUAUUGGUUGAUAUUCUGUGUCGGAUUCCCAGCAGACUCAUAUUCCUAUGCAAGCUUGUGUCCAAGCCUUGGUACAGUCUCAUAUCUACUCCUCAGUUUGUUGACCGCUAUCUAUGCGGUCAACGUCAAUUGCAAAAACCUGAUCUUUUAACAACUCUGGUUGUAUUCGAUAUAGUCCCCCCAGCAAUAUCUUUGAUCAUAACGUCGGAUCAUCCGGCCUUCAAAACAAGAGCGAGAAAUUUCAGUCUUAAUUUCCUCCCAUGUUAUCACCAAGCCAGAGGCAUAAAAAAGCUAGCAAAAGGGCACAUCCUGAAGGGUAUGCUCAAACCAGGUUCUGUUGUACCACCAGUUGUUGUAGGCACGUAUAAUGACUUGGUUUUAUGCUGCGCAACCAUGAAUUAUCAACGGCAUUACUACCUCUGCAAUCCAUACACCAAACAAUGGGUUGCUCUCCCUUCCACCCCUCGCGUCUACCGCAACGUGCUUGUAGGCUUUGUCUGUGAUCCAUAUUUAACGUACUCGAAUGACGAUGAUCAUAAUGGAGAAAAAGAACAAAGGAUGACUAGUAGCAGUUCUGUAAUCCGUAAUGCUGAUUAUAAGUGGAAGGUUGUACGAGUAGUUCCGAAUCCAUCAUAUCCGUACUUCCAUUUUGAGAUCUUCUCUUCUGAGACCCGUCAAUGGAGAGAGAUAUUUGUAGGUACAUAUGCCCGCAUAAGGAUAAUCAGCAGCACCUCUUCGUCAUUUUCACUUGCUUCUGACGAUUGGACAACAAUGUCUUCUGUAGCUUACAAAGGAAUGUUGUACUGGUGGUGCAAAAAUGGCCGAACACUUGAGUUGGAUGUGUCCAGUUCCAACACAGCUAAGUACCGUUUUAUUGCGCCGCCUGAGGAGUUGGAAAGUGAUUUUGAAAGUGUAAAUGGGAUAGGGUCGCUAGGAGUGAGCGGAGGACGUCUGCAUUUGUGCAUGCAUGAAAAAUUCUCUGGAGAUCAAGGUGAGGUUAAGCAGGCAUUUCAGGUUUGGGAGUUGAAACAGGUUGUCAACGGCAGAUGGUUAGCAGACCGUGUUACUAUAGCUUCCAAAGAUAUUGAGGUCUGCUAUCCAAAUAUUAGAGUGCUAGCUUUCCACCCAAACAAUGAAGAUGUCCUAUAUUUUAGAAAAGGCUUUGAAAUAGUGACAUGCAACCUAAAUGGAGGAAAGUUAGAGAAAACUUCAGAGAGUCCAGUGAAGGGAAUCGAGAGGAGAUUCUACUACUCGUUUUCUCUCCCAUGGUUGCCUACCCCGGUUCCCAAGAGACUCUAGACUAGAGUAGAACUUGAACCAAUUUGCUUGCUAAAUUUUAUUGUUUACCAAAAAUUUGUAUAUCUACAUAUUUCAAGAAUCGAAAUCCUGAUUGGCAUAGAGUUGUUCUUAAGCUUGAAGGUGGCCGGUGAAGAAGUAUGAGAAUUACUUUUUAUUAGCUGAAUAAAUAAUGGGGUAAAUGAUAGAGAAAUAUUGUUGUAGAAAGGGGAUGUAAUACCCGGAAUUCAGAACUAUGUUGGCUUUCACAUUGGAUCAAACCUUCUGAAUCACCCUAAGCUUCGCACUCCUAGACCGGGUGUUCAGUUUCUCUUCCUGUUCAGAUGGCGUAAUUGGUCUCUUAGUGAGAAUUGUUCCUCUGAACCCUUGUAUCAUUUGUUUGAUCCACGAUUCAUCUUCAUCAAUGUCUAUUCUGAUCUUUCUCAAAUCUUUCUUCUGUGCUUCUUCUUCAAUCAUAUCAGCAUCCCCAUCUCUGCUUUCGAUGUUGAUGAUGUCAAGAAAUGUUUGCUUCACAAUUCUGUCCUCUAAACUGUGGAAAGAGAUGACUGCCAGCCUACCACCAGGUGCAAGGCAAUCGAAACAUGAAUAUAGAGAAUCCUCCAGAGUCUUCAACUCAUCAUUAACUGCUAUCCUCAGAGCUUGAAACACCCUUGUUGCUGUCUUAAUCCAACCUUGCCUCCCUUCUGUUACAAUAAAGUUUAGUUUUAGUUUACUUGAACAAUUUUAAAACUCUUUUCAAAGAGAAUAAUAUAAUAUAGUAUUCCAUGAAUAUGAUAUCUAUCCAGUCCAAUGUACACAAUAUAUGACAAGGGUCAAGUGUAAAGGGGCACAUUUUUGAGAUCAGCAAGCUGCAGUACUAUAGUUGUAUAGAAUGUGAGAGUGACAACAUAGUAAAAUUGCACAUAGGGAUGAGAAGGAUACCAACCUCGACUUAGAGGGGUUGCAGAUUUUAUAAGAUCUACUAGUUCACCAGUGGAAUGCAGUCCACCUUGUAAUCGUGCUUUAACUAUUUUAUUCUGAAGAGAGUACCAGUUGCUUUCUUCCCCAUACUCUCGCAGGAUGCGCCCUACCUCAGUUUCUGGCCAAGAGUUUAAAAUGUCUUCUGCUUUCAGACUUGCCUGUCAUAGCCCUAUUCAAUCAAUUAAAUGAGACAAACAUUCAAAAUCCUAACGCAGCCAAUGAAAUAUAGGCAUCAUACAUAUCACUUUGACCACAACUUGCAUUCAUCCUAGAUACUAUAAUACAGAACUUGAGUGUUCCAUAACACUGUUGGCUGAUAGAAAGAUCAUUAAAAGGAAAAUACAAGUUUCAGCAAGACUAUACUACAAUGAAGAAAAUACUUCAUGAAUAGUUCCAGAAAUCAGGCAAUUUGGGCACAUAUUAUAAGAGGAAUAGAAAUCGGGUUCAUCAAUUUUUUUUUCAAACCGACAUUAAAAGGGAAUAGUACAACGAACAUUCCAUUUUCACUUUGUCUUGUUAAGUCUUCAUCCAACUUAUGGCAAAUCCAAUCAGCAGGCACAUCUAUGUUAACAUGAUCAGCAAUCAGGACAACCAGGCUGCUCUGUCAUAUGGCUCAGCUGCAGCCCUACUCAUAGUUUCAUACUCAUUCAAUCAACCAUACACAUUAUUAACAACGCAUUCGACACAAGAAAAGCCAAGUGUUCCAACUCUUUACCUGAGGAUCCAUGCGCAUAUCGAGAGGCCCAUCAGCAAGCACACUGAACCCUCUCUGAGGAUCAUUCACCUGCAUCGAUGACAUCCCCAAAUCCAUCAAGAUGCCAUCAAUCCCAGCGUCGAGAAGCGUCUCAUCCACGUCAGCAAGCAAAGACUUGAUGCAUCUGAAAUUCUCCAAGAAUGUAUAAGCUUUCAAAGGGGCGUCCAACACACCAUUGAUCCGACCCCGAGCCUUUUCAAGCGCCACAGGAUCAACAUCAAGCCCCACAUACACUUCCAUUUCGGGAUGCCCUUCAAUUAUCUGUUGAUAACCAACAACCCGGAAUCAAUAAUCAAAACAUGAUAAUACCCAAAAUAUGUAAGAACAAUAAAAAUAGGCAGUUACUGACGGCGGAGGAGUGGCCGGCGGCUCCGAGGGUGCAGUCGACGAAACGGCGGAGGGGUUUGGAGGCGGGAAAAACGUCGAGGACUUCGCCGAGGAGGACAGGUAUGUGGAAAGAGGUGUCGCCAUAACGCUUGAUGGUCUCCAAUUCGAACUCUCGAUCGGAGCGAGUUCUUCGCUUUUCUUUGACGGCAACUCUCUGCUUGUGCUCCUUGUGCUUCUGCUGCUGCUUCUUCUUACUACUAGUGGUGGUGGUGGUGGCGCGUGCGGCGGUUGUGAGGGUUCGGAGGCGGAUUGAUAAGGAAGAGAAUGAGAAGAUUCUUGAAGCCGGAGUUGAUAGCGAAGCAGUUGCCAUUUUGUUUGUUUCUUUUCCUAAAUCUAUGGCAUUCUAAAACCCUAAACCUUUCAAGUUGCUACUAUAUCGAAUUGCACUGUUGCGGAGGCAAAGGAUUUGGGUUCCAUUUCUUUUGACUUCAGAAAUACUUUUUGCUGAUAAUAACUAAAUAAAUAAAUCCCAUAAAUAAAUUCAUUGGGUUUUGUUUUAAAAUCCCAUUUUAGGCCUGUUUUCUCUUUUGGGAAGGGCCUAGUUUAGCCAACUAGGAAUAUGUUAGCCAUUUUAGUUUUCUUUUAUAAAUUUAAGCUAAAUAAUGUCUUUACUUGCCCGUCAUGUAUACAAGAAUUUCUGUAACUCUAGGGAUUACAUACGGAUUGUAAACCCUAAAACCAUCGUUGAGUCCUCUCGGCCAGUUCGGUGUUUGGUUGUGUUUGAGGUUACAGAGAACAAACUUCGUGCGUUAGGAUUUGAGACAUGUUAUUCAUUUUUAUGGAAAAGUAAAUAAAUUAGCACCAAAUAUUGUAUUACGUGUUUCAUUCAUAUAUUUCCUCAUAAUAUAUAACUCUUAAUGGAUAAAUUUGGUGAUCAAAGAAUAAAGCUACUGUAAUCGAAAUUUGGUGUUUCUGAAUUUCGAUCAUUAAAUGCAAGGUUCAUAAUAUAAUGAAUAACUUUUGAGUUAGAGUUUUAACUACAAUAUACAGAAUAAAGUAAAAAGACUUAUCAAUGAAAUUAGUUCAGCAGUACAUUUACUGAAACUCAGGUUACAAUAUAGUACCAAAUCAAACACCCUUUGGGGUAAAGAGGGUAGGUCACUUUCACAACGAGCAUACAUCAGCCACCAUGGUUAUUUGGGUGAAGCCUCUACCUUAGAAUCUGUCAUGAAUUUAGGAGAGAUGAAGAGGCAAACACGCCAAGAGAGUUUCCUACCAACAACGCCUUCAUGCAUACAUAACUACCAACCAUGCAUCAUGUACAAAGUUUCUGCCUUUUGCCACUAUAACAUCACUCCCCUUUCAGCCUAUCACAUCUUUCUACAACGUACUCUAAUUUUUGUUUACAUUGUGUAAACGGAUAUUAAUGAGCCGGGAUUCAUAUUUUCAAAAGUUGCCUAUUUUGAAACUUGGCAAAUGAGUUGUAACUUUUGGUAGUACAGAUCAUCAGCUCGUUGAUCGGAAAAAAGAAAAGAAACUGAAAAAGACCCUAAUGCACAAAUAUAUACACGUCAUAUCAGUGUCUGUAAUCUCUUCAUUUCAAUCAUCAGAUCAAGUUUGUUACUGGGUUUUGCCCAAAUGCACAGUUUCGCAUUGAAAAUUCUUGCUUGAACAACCCAGUUUAAUUAAUUUCCUUUUCAAUCUCUUUUCUCUAGUUACUCUUCUUCCGUUACGCAUUUCUCAACAAAUCCCACAAUCUAAAUUCAAAGUAUGCUGAAGUAAAAGGGAGUACGGAUUAGAGAUUGAUAAUAAGCAGCACCAGACAUUUACAAUCCUAAAAAUUUCUUCCAAUUGCUUUAAAGUUGCAUUUAGAAUACACGAUACCCUCCAAAUCAAUUAGUCCCGCUCAGGGUUCGAAGAACUCCAUCCAGUCAUUUGGAAAACACCAAAUACUAUAGUGUGAUAAGUCCCUGAAAACACUGUUUGAGAUAACACUAUGUUUCGAUGUUCAUGUAGUUAACCCUCAAAAUUGACCCCAAUAAAGGUCCAUCUUGUUCUAAAAUAAAUAGUGUCUUGUGAAUAGACUUGCUGCAAAUACGCAAAUAGAUAACCAGAGGCGGACGCAGAGCCGGCAGAGGGGGUCGAGGGUGGGGGUAACUGCCCCCAGUGAACUUUCUUUUCUGAUAAUCGUCUUCUUAUAUAUGUUAAUGUUCAUUUGAUUUUUCCUCAUCACAACUUAACAUAUACAUCUAUUGUUUAAAAAUCUAUUAACUCAUAAUUAUGUUUAGCUGCGGGUGAAUUAUCGGGAAUUUAAUAAAAAAAUAAGGAAUUCUCAAUUUCUUAAGACCGUUUUUCUCGUUUGGAUUUUUAUCCUGUGGAAUUAGCAAUUUUCACCGAAAAAUAAUCGUGGAAUUUAAAAGCUUAAAUUCCCGAUUUUAAUUCCUCACAAAAUAGGCAUCAUUUGUCAAUUUCCUAAACUGAGGUUAGUAUGAGUAAAAAUUCUUGUUAUUUUAAAACUCUAUAUCAUGAAUCCAAACAAUGAAUUCUUGAUUAAUGGAAUUUAAAUUUUUUUUUUGAUGAGAUUAAUGGAAUUUAAAUUCAUAGAACUGUAAUUCCAUGUUUUUAAAAUUUCUAUGGAAAUUGAAAUUACUUUAUCCAAAAAACGCAGCGUAAUAUAUCCUAGAUAUCAUGUCUGAUCAAUGAUUCUCUGGAUUUCUGGUUUUGGGUAUCAGUUUAGAUGAUCUUUUUCUUAUCGAAUUUUUGGUUUUGGGGGGUCUGGUUGAACUUGAAUUCAUAUAUUGAACUUUCAAAGUUGGAAAGCUUACAAUUUUAUAGUGCUUGAUUAAUUUUUUAUAUGAUUGAUGAAAAAGACUUCGAUAACUUUCAGAAUAGUACAAAUUAACUACAUGAAGUCAUGAGCUACAAAUUAAUAGAGUGGAAAUGGACACUGAGUCAUGUCUGAAGGCUCCUUAGCCUUGGCUCUUGUUUUUUUUUUGCUCCCACUUAUAAAACUUUCUGCGUCUGCCCUAGUUUUUUAUUUAUUUUGCCCCCACUUACAAAACUUUUUGCGUCCGUCUCAAAUUUUUAUUUUUUUAUUUUUUGCCCCCAUUUACAAAACUUUAUGCGGUCGCCACCACUGUAGACAACAAUAGAGAUAUCUCUGUUUGAGAAAUUAGAAAAAGAAAAAAUGUAUUGUCUAUCCAUAAGACCAUGACUAUUCUCAUUAUUAAACUCAUCACUCUCGUUGCUUUCUUUAUCUGUUUCUUGUUCCAUGUCCACACUGUUUUAAUCAUCAAAACAAAGCUUGGUCCACUAUCUCUUUCUCUCUUUCUCCACCCCCCUCUUGGCACUAAAUCUAUUAUAAAUCUAGGUUAUACCUCUGAACCAGAGCUUGGUAUCUUAUCCAUGGAUAAGCAGCAACAAGAAAACAUACCAUCUUCAUCACCAUCUUCUCCAGGAAGAUCAGCAGGAGGAGAAGCAAAGAGAGAAGAUGCAGCAGCAGGCUCAGGAAUUAGAGCAGGGCCGCCAUGUCCGACUUUCGUAGGCAAGCAUAGAAUGGCUGCUGCUAUUUCCCUUCUCCAUACUCAAAUAAACAUUAUUCAGGUCCAAUCCUCUAUAUCACUACCCAUAUUAUUGUUUUCUCCCAUUCUAUAAAUCCUAGAGAAUCCAGGAAUUUACCAUGAUAAAGUUGUGUUGCAGGAAGAGCUUAACGAACUCGAAACAGUAGGCGAGUCCUCCAUUGUCUGCAAAGAGUAAGCAAAUUCUUGCGUCUAAUCCAAGAUAUCAUGGUGUCAUUCCUUGCUUAAAAUAGUCUGAUUUUGUCAAUCUUCUGGUGUAAGCAGACUCGUUGCAAGCAUCGAAUCGGUUUCUGAUCCCCUGCUUCCAUGGUAAGCACCUAGUUGAUUUUCUUUGUUAUGUAUUCUCUAUGACCGGGCUGAACUGAUGGAUGAGGAUGAAUGGUAUAAAAUGGCAGGAGUAAAGGAGCACCUGAAGUGGGAUGGGAUAGGUGGUUCAGAGGAGCACACAACACCAGAAGUAACAACCGCUGGAUCUAAGAAUGGGGAAACUAAUUUCUUUACCUAAUAUGUUGUCUUAUUUUUGCUACAUUUUGCAUUACCUUGAUCAUAAUGUUUUGAAUAACAUAUCAGGAAGAAUGUAUUGGGAUACAGAGAAGCAUAUAUGUAAAAAUUCUGGGAAUGUUUUGCCUAAGAAUGAAGUUAUUAGAUAUUUUUGGUUGCUGCAAAUGGUUACAACCAGCGGGCAAUCGCUAUCAUCGACUUUCUGGAGGAACCAACACAUGAAAAUUGAUUUAUUAAUACUCAGGGCUUACUGGUACAAGGCUGACUAACCGCAUGAGUUUUAAGUUAUUGAAUUAAGAAGCAUCACACUCGAAACACUUGUCACAACAUGUACAUUUGGACAAAAGAUGAAAAAGGCACACUAAGAUCCUUAUGAACAGAAAAAUGACCAGGACUGGAUAGAACAAGAACACUCGGACCAGAAGAUACAUCAGCCAAAAAUGGCAAAUUCCUCUUACUGGGAAGGGGGAGGCGAUCUACUUUACACAUUGGACCAGCCUUCUUAGAUGCAGGAAGCUCACCGCUAUUAGGUUCAAGAACUGCUUCUGCCAAAUAAAAGCAAGAAUAGUCACCAAGAUUUAAAUUAAAAGAUAGAAGUUUCACAACCAUAAAGAAACAAGAUCAACAGUAGGGUUGCAACUAACCUAAAAAAAACAUGCAGGUCUUCCAACAUGCCGUCUGAAGAUUAAAAUUUCAAGUCACCUCCCCUCGGUCAAUAUUUACAAAAAACCCGGAUAUCGACAUUUAACUAGCAAACACAUGCUUCUUAUACAACUUGGGAUGAGACAUUUGCCGUCAAAAGUGUCCCUCGAAAACCCUCUUCAGUGUGUUGAACAUCCAUUUUCUGGUCAGAAAGCUCAUCUGUGGAAACAUCAUCAAACUGCAUCUUAGAAACUAAUAUUGAAACAAAACGUUGCAUUACAAUUACCAAUCAGAAACAUUUGGUGAAUGACAAAGCUUUACAUCACACCAAACAAUCUAGACAGAGCAAUAUCAAUGGAAUCGGAAUAAAGGACAAUCUGAAGCACCACAUUCCACUUAUUUCUAAUGUAACAACAAACAAUUUUUAAGUUACCAGCGAUAUCUCGGUUCUCAUGGACUUCUGAAUCAGUCACCCAAAGCUUAUCCCCAGGGAAUAUGUUCAAAUCUGCCAGUGUAGCACAUUCACUAUCAAUUGUUCGAGUGCCUUUGUGAAGUAUCUGGUUUUCCUUAACAACCUGCAAAUCAAAAACAAGUAAUUUGAUGCCAACUGUAACAUUACACAAUUAUCAAAGAAACUUAUUCAUACACAAGAAGAAAUUGCCAGUGGCAUAAGACAAGAUAAUGCAUUUCUAAUUGGUAUUUUAAAGUGGAACAUUAUAAACUUACCCCAAAAGAUUCCCAUAUCAUCAUUUUUAACUGGUAUAUAGACGUAGAACCAGAGACGUUCAAACUUAUUUGAUCUCCAGUGUUUGUCUUUCGAGAGCGCUUGGAAACUCGGCGAUCCGGAUCAAAACUAGUCUCAGAUGCUUGUAAAAUAUAUUUUGGAGCUUCCUUGCCAUGUACCAAGUAUACAUAUAUGUCCUCGUUGCAGUACUCCAGUUUCCGCAUCAGCUCCCUGCUCUCUUUCUCUCCAAUGCAAUCCUCACAUAUCUAACAAAAAUUGAGAACAGCUAAUCAGAAGAACAAAAUUUCAAAUGCUAUUUAAAAUAUAGAAAAGAAGCUAACUCAAAACAAGCUAGACAACUAGUAUCAUAAUACUUCCUCUACUAUGCUGUUAUGCAUAUGACAAUAAAAUAAAAACUCAAAAAGGUUCCGGUACCUCAGGGCAAGUCCUAAUAACAAGGGAUCUGGAAUCAAUUUCACUAUUCAUGAGAUUUGAAUUGCGCAGGUCCUCACAGAUUUGCAUAUCAUCACAGGACCCUGUCAAGUUAUUUCCUUCAGUAUUGCUUAACUUGAUUUCAGCAGAUACACCUUUCUCCUCAAUACAACCCCAUUCCUCACAGAAGGAUUUCCAGUCACUCUCAGUGAUGAAUAUUAACCCAUCCACCUAGAUCCAAAGACAAAACAAUAAGCAAGAAUUCCAAUAUAGCAUAGGAAUAAUUACAAGCAUGAGAAUUUGAUCAUUAAAGUCACAGAAAGCUAAAAGAACAUGAGAACUUCUUAAAUAAAUUCAGAUGAUCUCAUCCUCUCACCACUCCCUUCCCAUCAAUCUAUGGAUGAAAAUAGAUAAGAUAUUGGAUGAAAACUUAAAAUAUUACCCUCCCUGCCCAAAAAUCCAAAACACACACCCAAACACUUGAAGACAUGUAGUCAUAUACUUACAGGAGUAGACUUUUGCGAAAUCAAACCACGUUUACAGACCAGAUCAACAGGCCUUUCUAGAAGUCGUGCAUGCUGAAAGAAAGCACAAAUAGGUUAUUUAAUAACUGUAAUAACUAAAGACAAAGAAAAAAAGACAGAUUGAAUUAGAAGGACAAUAGAUUUCUAAUAUCCUAAUAGUUUUCUCAGAACUAGUGAAAAAAAGAAGGAAAAAAAAAAAACAAUCUUAUCAGAAAUAGCAGCUGAAGAAUAAAAGAAUUUAGUAUGUGCAGGGUUUUGUCUAGGUGUAGAGGCUCUCCAUUUAGCACAGAGGAUUUCCCACCAGUGUUAAAAUGAGGGCGUUAACACUUGCCAGUUUAAAAUAAAAAUUAAUAAGAAUAUAUAAAAAUGUAAAUUCUACAUAAAAUGAUGAGGUUCAUUAAAAUUUCAUUGGCUUCUAUUACAUAAAGACAGCAGUAUAAUAAGCAGAUGAAUAUAGUAGAAGCCAAAAACUCUCUUAAGUAGUACCAGACUAUUGUUGAACAAAAUAUUGCCACUUAAAGUUGCAGGUUACCUUUUCACAUUUAAUCAAAUCCAUGAUGCCAUCUAGUGUUUCCGGUUUCUCUAUUGAAGAAAUAUUCCUUGCGGUUGCAUUAAUGUAGGUCCUCCAUUUUGUAAGCCAAGAAUAGGGUAUCAAGUAAUACUUGCAAUGCAGAGAAAGAGGAAUACUUUUCCCGGCAGCUAAUUUAUCAUGAGUCUGGCGCUGUUUUUCCCUAACCAAUCUGCAGCAUACAAAAUGGUAAGAGCAAUUACAAUUAAGCUUUAAAGUAUGAGUAAGUGCUCAAGUUACCUUAAAGAAUCCUCCAUGCAUGCAACUUCAGAUAAUUCAUCAUUGCACUCAGAACACUGAAGAGAGUCUGAGAGAAAAGUCGAACAACCCAGGUCCUCAGCAGGUUUUACUGUUAAAGCAUCUUCAUAAAGGAAGAGCCAGAGAACCUCAGGAAUAAGCACUCUCUUAGCACCACUGGCUUGCUCUGGCAAAAGCUGCCCAUGAGGACACCUGAUUGAAACUGUUGGUCCUGCAUCUGCUUCAGAUGGAGCAUCAAGAAUUUUCCUUUUAAGCCACUGCUGCAACCUUCACACGAAAACAAAAAACAAAAAUCACUAACAAAAAGAAAGUCUUAAGCAGAUGUCAUGAAAAGCACAAAUAAGCACUAUCAUGCUCAAUUGACUAUACUACAGGAACAACUGGUAAAAUUAAUAUAUGUCUGUACUCUCUAGCAUAUGUUGAAGUAUGAAGAACAAAAUCCAACAGUGUUUCCAGUCAUACCAUGAUCUAGAAACAUAGUAUGUUCCAUCUGAACAUCGCCCUGCAAUGGCAUCCUCAGCAACUUGCUUCAUUAAUAUCCUCCUAUCCCUAUAGCUGUCGGCAGAGACCACAUCUCGAGCCCCAUCAUUAAGGCAAAUCGUGCAGGAGUCAUCAUUGGUCAGGAUUGGCCCCCCAUUGUGCUGAAAUUGUCAUGAUCCAGUCAGACAAGAAAAACCAUCCAAUAAUAAUCAGAUGUGUAACAGGGACACACACACACACACAUUAAGGCAAAUCGUGCAGGAGUCAUCAUUGGUCAGGAUUGGCCCCCCACUUGUGCUGAAAUUGUCAUGAUCCAGUCAGACAAGAAAAACCAAUCCAAUAAUAAUCAGGUGUAACAGGGACACACACACACACACACACACAGAGGGCAGGCAGACGGCUGACCAUAGGUCAUUAAAGCAUCAAGGGAUACAAUUUAUAAGUCAUAUUAUAACAUAACAAGAUAGCACAUUAUUAAGCGAGUUCACUCAAGCAAGUACCAUAGAGAUCAACUUGGUCCAAGCUUCAGCUGACAACCGCUUCAUGCAGCCAACCUUUGAUGCUGGAACUUUUCCAUGCACACAUUGGAUGGAGGUAUUGUCAAGAAUACUGCAUGCAAUUGUAGUGCGAGUCAAAAGCCAAAAAUGAAAUAUAUACAAAUUUGCGAAACAUAAACCUUGACAUUGUGUUGUAGCAGAAAGCAAGUGAAUGACUAAAAUAUACACAUAAAAAUAAAAAGGAAAGAUGAAGUGCACAGUGCUGUUUCAGCUGGUUCCUAGUGAGUAGUUCAAUAAAAAAUAUAAAAAAUAUUUAAAAUGAAGGUUGGGCUUGGACAGAAAAAAUUACCAACACAAAGGAAAUUCAUAAAUCUAAAGAAUCUGAACUUGAAUGUACAACAGAAAGAUACAUUUUACAAAGAGAGAAUUCAAAAUAAUAACAAAGACAUUUAACAUAUCCUUACGGUGGAGUAAUAUUGUCAGCCCACUGACGAAGCCAAUCUGUCGAAACCCAACAAAAAGGUUCCUCGAGUGAUCGAACAGGAGCUUCAGACAAAAUCGAGCGCACUUCCUGUCUUCGUUCAUUGAUACGAUUCAUUUCUUCUUCCUUCUUCAAUGUGUAUUGUUGGCAAGAAUCAAGAUACAAAGCAUUACUGCUUUUGAUCUCGUCAAAAAGAUUAUAAGGAAGAGAACCAGAAACACUAUCAUCUUCUAUCUUCCUGUUGUUGCCAUUACAUUCAACAUGGGUUUUCCCAUCAUCCUUGCAGGAGCGCCUGAGAUUAUACAUCAGCAUAUACGCAUCACAUGAUGAAAAUGUCUCCACAUCACACCUAGUAAUAGAUUCUGAAGGUUGUUGGUGAUCAAUAUCCAUACUAUCACCAUUAGAAACACCGUUCAUCUGUUCUGAGAAAGAUGGAUUAACUGGUUCAUGAUUAACAGGUCUGCUAUUGGAACUAGAAGUCCCUUCUCCAAACGGGUGAGUCCCCAAGUCUGAGACACGUUCAUCGUCGAAUUCCCACCAUUGCCCUGUCUUCUCAUCCUUGAUAUGGGCUACAUAGUGGCCACUGUUAACUGCAGUUCCUUUGUGAAUCAGCACAGCUGACAAGUCAUAUAUUGAUUCAGUCUGAGUAGGCUCAGAUAGCCUCUGCCUCAUAUCAAGUACCCCAGGAAACAUAAAUGCAGAUGUAAUCUUCUUCCUUGUUGUCGUCUACUGACACAAAUCAAUACAGAAAAUAGAAUAUUAAAGAAGUAAAAUUGAGGAACAAAGUAACUCGACAGAAAGUUUCCUACAAUUCAAUGCAUAUAGACCUAUAAAAACAUAACUGCAACUUGAUGGAAAAUGCAUAUCAUAACCUACCUUCGGAAGGAAAACAUAUCGCUUAAGCUGAAAAUUGAGAACAGGAGGCAAUGUAUGCAACUUGAUGCUUCGAGUAGCAUCAACUCUUGUUUUACACGACUCGCAGAAAUAUUGAUUGUCUCCCUUAAGCUCUUCAACACUGAGGUAAUCAUCUAAACUUUCAUCCAAACUUUUCAAACCCUUCACAUUCAACUCCAAUUCAUAAAAGUCUUCCAUGUUUGAAGAAGCUUCAGAGUUUUUUCCACAUUUUGAGCACCUAAAUACAUAUAUGUCUAAAUCAAAAUACUGAUAUAACAAUAACUGGAAAGAAGAAUAUAACAAAAAGAGUAGCAAUCUUAGGUUAACAAAAGCAUAACUAGAGAGUUGCACAGCACCAGCACUUUUAUUACUUUAGCCAAUUAAAACCAGGAAUAAUAUUUACAAAAAGGCCAAAUUAAUAACAAACUAUAAUGACCUGUUCAGUCAUACCUUGUAACAUGUGACACACUUCCACGAAAAAGAUCUUGAACAAUAGCUUUUGCCCUCAAAGUUUUUGAGUGGCUGAGACAACGCUCCAGCAAUGACAGCAAUAAGGUCAGAAACUCAUGACUAUCUUGUUGAACUCCAUUAUCCAACUCCAGAGUUUUGACAAAUGGAGAUGAGUCAAUGAAUGCUCUUUUGCUGAGAUACAACUGUGCAAAAAGCCGUGAAAGUUGAUUCAAGACCGGUUGUUUUUCCAGGACUUCAGGUUCAACCAUAAAGAUACCUUCACGGAAGGGCUUGUUCAUAUACAGACACUGGAGGAUGCUGUUAGCGUAACACGUAGCCCCGAGAUUUGUGAGGCCUGCAGGACAGUCAUCAGAAGAACGAAGAUCCUCAGAAGGGUCCGGGCCAAGGUUUUGCAGAAUCUCUGAUGUCUUCUGCCACAGGCCAGAUUUCCUACUGCCUUUGAGAGGCGGAACAAGCCCACAAAAGCAAUUCGGGUUGUCCUUAGUAUUCACACGACACCCCUGACAAACCGGCUUCUUAACUUUAUACAAUGUAUCUAUAUCCUCCUUUGUUAUUUCAUUCGUGGCAUGAAUUUUCCUACACCAGAAACCACAAUGUGAUUCCAAACAUCAAAUACAUAUCUUUCAACAUAACAGAAAAUGCUCCUACCUCAAUAUCUCCGAAGUAGUGUCACCGUUAUCCCCUUGCUUAUUUCGUUUGUUUUUACUCCGAGUACUUGGCUGGCUCAUUGUCACAACCUAUCAAUCCUGAAAUGGACAUGAACAUGUACUCAGACCUUGAAUCCUUACACAUACUAAUCAAUCAUGUACAUAAAAGAUACAGAAACUCGCAAAGCUCGAACGAAAAGCACAAUUCCUAGUGCCCUAGCUCGUUUCAAUUGAAGUUCAAACUCGCAUUUCAGAUGCAAACAGUUCCAUUGUGCAUUCUCAAAGCUAGUAACCAACACAUUAAAUGAAAGCCACACAAAAAAAAAUCAAUGAAAAAUGUUAAGGCAAACUUUCGGAAGCUGAAAAAAAUCAAAAACGCAGAGAAAACCCUAGAAGCUACAGAACGAUCAAAAUUAGGCUAAUCGCAGAAGAGUACGAAAUUCCAGUCGGAAUAAAAUUCAUGUAUGUAAAAGCAGAAAUAAAAAAGGAUUAAGAAAAAGGAAAUAAAGAAUGGUUGGAGAGCUAUACCUGGUCUGAGAGGAGAAGAAGACGAAGACGAAGACGAAGAAGAAAGCUCUGUUGGAGCUGAAGCUGGAGAAGAUGAAGAGCCUGGUUUUGGUGUGAAAAUCAGAAUAAAAUGAAAAAGAAAUAUAUAAUUUUGGGGGGUUUUAUUUUAGGUCAGCGUGAGAGAAAUCAGAAAUAGCGCUUCGAUUUUGGGGUUUUUAUGAAUUUUAUUCAUGUAAAUUACAUGGCUGGAAAAGGAAAGGUCGCUUUUUUUUUUGUGUGAAGAAAUCUGGGAGUUGGGAGGGACACGAGGUUCAGAGUGAAGGGUCAAGAUCCAAGUCAGAACCGCAGGCGACUUUUACAGUAGUUCAACGGUAGUGUUGACUGACUUCCUUCAAUUACGUUUUUACUUUUUUGAUUAAAUCAUUUAUGAACUUUAAAAGGGACACAGCUGAAAACCCGCCGCAAUCAUUUGAUCUCGUGACAUAAGUGUACAAGAGAUCCAUGUUUCUUUUCUUGACAUGUUUUAGAUUUUCCAAGGUAAAAAAUCUGAGCUGAAACAACAUUUCCUUUAGUAAUACUUGCAUUACAGCAGUAAGUUCUACUUCCUGGAUUCAGGAAGUUAGAUAGUAUACCGUAUACCAGCAACUCAUAUACCGUACCAGCUCGAACAUUUGAACUGAGAAAUUCAGAAAAUGAAAAUUCAAAGAUGUACAAAAGUUACAACCAAUGUAAUCCAUGAUCAUAAAGCUCCAGAGGUCUCUUGGGUAAGAUCUCAACAUUUUCUUGUACACAUCGCAUAUAAGGCAAGCCCCACAUAAAUCCAUCCAGCAGAAAACAAAACCCCCAUAUACCUACAAGCAAACGGGAAGGAGGCCUAAUCCAAAAAGGGAACAUCUUUACCCUACUCGUGUUUUUCUUCUAAACUAACUGUAUCUGUAUCACCCGACACAAGCACCUCAUUUAUUUGCUCAAUCUCAUGACCUGCUGCAACAGGGCUGGUACCUGCUGCGACAGGGCUGGUACCCGCUCCGACCGGGCUAGUACCUGUAACUACACUGUCAUUCAAAGAACCACUGGCUUGGUUUGCUGCAGAACUCCCGUCCCCUGCUAUCAUAGAUCCCGCAUCAGGAGAGCUAGAACCAGUACCGGCCCCUUCCAAAUGUUUUGGCCUAUUUAGAGCAUGACAGUGUGGGCAAUAAUAAGUGAUGUAUGCGAAAUCCUCCUUCUUAGCAAGCCCUGUAGAGAGAGAAGAAUAUCAGAGCACUAUCUUCAACCACAAAAUGAAACAACCAAGUGAGUGCAUCAGCCUGCAGGUUACCACUCCAAUCAAGACUUUACUUCACUUCUUCCAUGUAAACAACGGAAAAAAGUAAGUGCUCAUGAUGGGAUCAGGAUGUAGAUGACUUACCAUUGUGCAUAUGACAAUUGCCACAUAUGAGGGCAUAAGAUUGUGUAGGAUCCUCGCCCACAAGUAAUGCCGCUAAACGAGCAAUCCAAUUUCCAUCUUGUGUAGCAUAUGAUUGAGGAUUCUGAUGAGCAACUACCAGCUGACCAUGCUCAGCAGUCUGGGGACCCUCUGACCCAACAGACUGAGGAGUCUCUUGCUCAGGAUAAAGCAUAUGUGCACUCCCUGUACUGGUAGAUCUGGUCAGUCCUGUUUUUCGGUUCCGAAGUUCACCAGGAUGUACAAGUUCAACAUCAUUGCUUCUCCCAGAUGGGGCGUUCGCUCUAGAUUCAUCACCUACAUGGAAUCGUAGGCCUGAAUCAGCACCCAACUUAGAUGCCAGGACAGUUGCAGCAGCUGCCUUUGCUGCUGGGUCAGCAUCAUAUUUCUGCAUAAAAGAAACAUCGUGUGAGCAGAAACAAAGAAAUUAGAGGUGAAGAACAAGGUACAUCUUCACGUAGACAACUACUCGAAGAAAGCAGCAUAACAGCACACAAUCAUGUUCAAGACAUACCUCUUGGAGCACAAACUCAUUUAGCAUACAACAAUUUUAAUAAUAUGUUCAUGGGAUUAAGCUUUACAGAUCAUUAUUACAAUUCGUAUUCCAUCACCACACCCAUUAAAACAGUCAAAUAUGAAAAAAAAAUAAGAUGAAGAGAAAAUGAUGCACCAAGUCCUACACCAUUCAUCUGAUAAUAAUUCAACAAACUUGCAAAAAAAAACCACCAGACAAGUUCAAUUAUGAAAUGAGACGCAAGGACAUAUACAAAGAAAAGUAUGAAGUUUUUCAUCAUUACCUGAAUAAGCUGUUGAGUAGUGUAAUAGUUGGUCUUCUCUUUAAGUUCAUCAAUUUUUGCUUGCUUUUCAGCCCGGAGCCUUUCCAGUGUCUUAUUAUCCUUGCGAUCACCUAUAAUUAAGAUAUUAAAUUGUUAGGCCCCAAGAUUAAGAAAGUAGCCUAUACUUAUCUAAAGCAACAUUUAGGAAAGAUUCAUAGAAAGCCAACAAGUAUGCCUUUGCAGUACUCAUAAGAAUUGGUUUGCAGUUCACACACCAACCAUUUAGAGUAUUCUAAAAACAAAUUAGUCGAUUAACUGAUAACAUACAACCACUUGGUCUAGUUUCUAACUUUUAGCAGAUGACCAAUUAGAAUACCAACAUGAUAUUAGACUCCUAAAAACCCUAUUUUGGUGCUUCUGCAUCUCUCUGAGAUAUAUGCAUGCACAAAAGCUAACAGACAAUUUUAAAAAAUGUCAAGAGAAACAACAACGCAUAUACCCAAAACAGAGAAAUUUGGAAGCAAAAUAUGCACUUGAAUAUGUGCAUUUUUUCAGAAAACCAUAUGGAGAUAUUGGAAAGAGUACUGAACUUGAAUAGAUAUGUAUCAUUAAUGACCUGCUACCAGUAGCAUGGCCAAUCAUACAGUUCAACAAUUUGUAUUCUCUAUACAAUUUAACAUAAGUAUGUUAUAAUGUUCUCACAUAGAGCUAGUAUACAAGACAAUUCAAACAAGAUUUCCUCAUUCCCUGCAACAAACUACAGAACAGAAUUCAAACAUCCACAAGGCAUGGAUGACAGAAGAGGUUUAGAAUAUAGGGAUGAAGUGGAUUUCAACAAAUGACUGAGACAAUUUAGGUGGAAAUGUUUAUGAGGAUAUAUUCAGUUAAUAAGGCUUCCUAAGCUCCGAAUGCAAUGAGAAGCUACAGUCAGAGAUAAUACACAAUCAAGCGCAAACUAACUUGAGAAAUAAUUAGGAAAGGAACAGCAUCAAGUCUAAAUCAAUAGGUUAAAAUGCCUCCUAACGAAUUCCAACAAAUGUGGAAACAGAUAGUACUUGAAAAAUCAGUUCUCGGAAACUUCACAUGAAUAUAAAACCAAACACAUUCCUCAUGCAAACAAACCAAAUUGGAAAGUUCAAGACACUUACGCAUCCUUGUGUAGUUCGUAAAUGUUGAAUACGUAAGACUGGACAACGCAGGAAAGAGAAACAUGGGCAAAAUUCGAAAUGUCCUCGUCCUCCAGUCCAAGUCAGUGGUUCUCGUUGUGGCAAUAGCAUAACCAAUUGCAAUAACCUGAAAAUCAAACAUCCAAAGCACAAUCCUCAGCAGAGAAAAUGACGAAAAAUUUAAGAUAACACAACACAUUUCAAUUUUUUCUUUCGUCAGAUUCACAAUGGCAAUGGUGCAUUUUUCGAAAUUCCUAAUCUAAUGAGCAGAAAUCAACAAUUUGAAUACCUCGAAGAAGAUAGAGAAGGCAACAACGUUUCUGGUGAAGCUUCUCCGAUUGAGAGCCCUCCGGUUGAUUCUGUUCACCACAGUUACCUCCUCCUUGGAGAGAUACUGCAGCCGCUUCUCGAAAUCGUCGCCGUGCCGAAACAUUCCGGUAAGCAUUCUGGCGAAGAAUCCCUUCCCCUUCUUCUUCGGCACCGCCGGGACGGCGUCGUUCUUCUCGCCUUCAGCGCCUUUGUCCUUAUCAUCCGCCAUUGCUACAAAUCAAACAAAAACACAUACAGAAUCAAGCAAAUAAAUUCAGAAGCGGAAUCAGAUCUAAGAAGAUUAUAGGAGUCGUUGGAGAUGGAGACCUUACUGGAUCGAGAAGAUUCGAAUGGAUUCAGAUCUUUAGAGAUGGAGAAAGAGUAAUGAUGAGAAUCGAUGAAGUACGUGAGGGCGACGCAAAGGAGAAGCUUCGAUUAUCGAUGAGAGAGAGAGAAUCUGCGGUGGUGGAGUGAGAGUGUCGAGAAAGAAGAAGGGGAGGGUCUUCUUCUCAAAAAAUGUUGGGGGAAGAAAGAGAGCUUUCUCGAUUUCUUUUCUUUCCUUCCUUUUUAGUUUUUAAUUUUUUACAAAUAUCGUCGUUUUGGUUUCACGCGCUUGAGCUCGGGGCGCCAACGCAGAGCGCAAUACACGGCGGGAGUACGUUGGACCCCACCCCGCUAAAACCCUCUUUGGAGCGCACGACGGUUGGGACCGACCUCUCGUCUCGCCGUCAAAAUGUAAUUACUGUUUAGUCGUAAAUAAUCAUCAUUAACCCCUUAAUCACGUACUGUAGUUUCAAUUAUCAUUUAAUUUACCUUAUUUUCCAUUUUCUGAAUUUUUUUUUUUUUUUUAUUACCAAACGACUAGCUACAAGCCUACAAUGAAGCACUUCUAAAGCAACCGGCUUCAAACAGGUCGAAAUUUAAAACAUAAUCAACAGAAAGAGGAAUAUUCAUUCCGCAGCGAUACGGAUUACGGGUUGUCCAAAUUAUAACCCAAAGUAGCAAGAACGUCAGCAACAAAGUUUGCUUCUCAAAAUAUACGACUGAAAGAGAUUGCAGAAAAGAUUGUAGCGAUGAUAUCCUUUGGAUAAGCUACAUAAGCGUCCAAGGACUCUUGAACCUCCUGUUGAUGCAGUUGAUUGCCAGGGAAGAAUCACCUUCGACAACUACAUUGGAUAAGUUUAAUUCCCUGUCUUUGAUAGAGAGAGCAGUGACUUCUGCAAUGGGGACGAUCGCUUUCCCAAUUCUACGUGCAGAAACAAUAAAAGUCGCCCAAAGUGAUCUCUCAGCAAGACCGGCAGCAGCAUUAAAGCUUUAUUGUAUAAUCGAGUCAUCAAAGUUUAGUCCAUUUAGCUAAUAUAAUUAAGACCGUCCAUCUAAUAGCUAAUAUCAUUGAAUUACUAGACCAGCUUUGGAUUAUGCAGUUUGAUGGUCGCACAUAUGAUAUUGAUCAAAAUUGUGAUUCUUGUUCCCAAAUUCCUUUGCCCCCAAAGAGGUACGCUUUCCUUCACUGUGAAGAAGGGAAAAGGGAAAGGAAAGUGGAAGUUGCAUGCUUUACAACAACAAGAAACGUAGGAAUCACUUAUUUGGGUCUUCCUCCCACUUCUAGUGAAAGUUUAGCAUAGCCAUGUUGCUAUCCCUUCACCUUUUGUUGCAUCAAGGCAUCGUUAAUGCUUUGCCUACCAAGGAAUAAAAGAAUGCUUUGCUCACGCAGUUUCAACCAACUCUCCUCCACCUCUUUUAUGUUAAAGUCUUGCCAUCAUGGGAGCAUAUCUCACUGCAUUUGACCAAUCUGAUUCCAGUUAUCACCUGUUAGUUUUGCUGGAAAAAACAAGGUAUUAAAUCUCCAUUAGAUGUGCGCAAUUGAUUCAUGAUGUAUAGAAAAUGAAACAUAGGUUUUGUUCUUACGUUAAAACCAAGUCCAACCAUGUUAUCUGAGAACAAAAUUAUGGUUCCAUAACCUUAACUUCUGAGGACGUGUUAACACUUAACAGUGAAUCAAUGACCAAUACAAUCAUCUCAAACACUGUAAUCUCAUCAUUAACAAUUUACUUGUUAGGUUUUUGCCUCAUAAAAUGAAUGUGUUCUAAGGAUAUAUAUAGGACAGGAGGAAAACUGAUUAGAUAAACCAACCUGAAGAAUAUAGGUUGAGCAUUCUGAUCUCAAUGUCCUGUUGAUAUACUGCAUCCUACAGGAAAUUGUCCUUAUAUGACGUCCCAAGCAUUCAGUAAAGGAACAAUCAGGUCUUGUCCCAGUUCUAGGAGCAGGUCUGUGAAGCAGCAUAAUGAAUUCUAUCAACAGACCUGUUAUCCUGUUAAAUUUUUGAACAGAAAUAUCAGGAGCUUUAUAUCUCAACAACAUUUUAACUCAAAAGUCAAACCUAAGAUGACCCGCGGCUAAAAAGUAAAAACAACUCAGAAAUUCAUUCUUUUUUCCCAGCAUUCCACGGAAUACCAGGAUUACAGUUAGGUUUACCUAAAGCACAACUACUUGUCAAUAGAAAUAAAAAAGAAUUCAUAAAAAGAUCAAAAGUUCAAAAUUUCUAAAGUAUGAAUAAAACAUUUGUGCAAACACAUACCUCCACAGAAAUCAUAGGAAGAAAUAACCCAAUUUGCCACAAACAGAAAACUUCUUCUAUCAGAUGGUGUUCUGUUGAAUUUAGCUCUCAAACUCUUACUUGCCUACCAUAACGGAACCUCGUCUUUAGAAACAAUGUUACAAUCAUGCGUGUGGCCUAAGUUAUUAAAGAGGGAUAUUCAUUUCUCCUCGCUAGCCACUUCUGGUAAAUGCCAGACGCUUUAUCAGGCUCCCUCAUUUUGCAGUACUUCUUGAAAAGUAUCUUAAAUGGAACAUGAUUAACAGGGAAACCAGAUGCCAGUAUCGUAGCAAGAAUCUUUUCUGCCUCCUUGAUAUUACCUCUCAUGCAGUUCCCUCUGAUUAGUUCAGUGUAAGUAAAUAUAUCUGGAUCGAUUCCUAUUUUCAGCAUUUUAUGAUAUAACUCUAUGGCAAAUUCAAAAUGCCCUGAGUUACAAGCACCCCCAAUCAACAUAUUAUAGGUGACCACAUCAGGAAAAAGACCCGACAGCAGCAUUUUCUUUUCAACAGAAAGAGCACCGAUAAAACUUCCUCCUUUCACUUGAGCGUGGAUCAUUGCAUUGUAAGUAUAUACGUUUGGUUGAACACCAAAAGCUAACAUCUGAUCCUUAACAGAAACUGCAUUACUAAGAUCUCCAUAUCUUGCAUAGCAAUCAAUAAUACUAUUCCAUACCAAAGGCUCAGGAACCAUCGACUUCUCUAACAUACUACGAAGAAAUUCAUGAGCUUUGACAACAUCUCCCUCGAUACAUAAGCCUUGUAUAAUUAUGUUGUAUGUGACCUUAUCUGGAAUAAUUCCCAUUCUUGGCAUAAUAUCAUGGAUGUAACAAGCAUCCUCAAACUUUCUUUCUUUGCAGAGACCACUUAUAAGUGUGUUACAAGUAAAAACAUCAGGAAGUAAACCUCUUUUGGUCAUUUCAGAUAGGUAUCCAUACGCAAGGUCCAUUUGCUGAUUCAAACAAAAUCCAUGGAUGAGAACAUUGUAAGCAAUGACAUCUACUUGGGUAUUCCUCUGCAUGUCAACCCAAAGACUAAGUGCCUGAACCAUAUUUCCAUUUUUAAGAUGACCAUGCAUAAGAGUAGUUGAAAUUACUAUACCUGAGUCUGUUAUCUCUUCAUCAUCAUCUAAUAUCUCUUCAAGAAGCUUGUUAGCAUCCUCCACAAGACCUUUCUUGCACAAUGCAUGUACAAGAAUAUUAUAAGUAAUACUAUUCGGCCUAAUACCACUGUUAACCAUUGUGGUGAAAAGAUAAAGAGCUUUAUCCACUUUAUCAAGAAGGCAAUAACCCUUAAUAAAAGUGUUGUAUGUGACACAGUUGGGAGAGGGGCCCAUUUCUAGCAUCUCCCUGAUAAGCCAAUUUGCCUUCUCCAAGUCGCCAGCUUUACACAGUGCAUUCAAUAGACAAUUAUGUGCCCAUACAUCCGGAAUAAUCCCUUUAUUCAUCAGUUUUCUCCGCAGCCAAAAGGCUGACCCCAAUUUACCAUCAACACAUAAACCCCUUAAGACGUCCAUGUGUUCUAAGUAAUUGAUUUUCGAAGUGCAUCCCAGAAAACCUAUCUUUGCCACUGAUAUGCUUUCCCUGCAUUAUACGUAUAAUUUAGACAUGUUAUAAACAAUGACAUAUAUCUAAGAAGUUGACCUCAAAACCAACAAUCUCUUUGAAAAAAAUAGUUCACUGGUCUAAGAAGCUGCUUUCAUCAACCAAAAAUAAGAAAAAAGGAACAAUGGAACAAAGCACUCUCAUCCAACUGAAACAAGAGCAUCUAUAGGUCUGACAUAAUGAGAUUUAAUUUGUAUGAGAAGACAAGCCUCAGACAAAAUGAUUGUAACUAGUCCCUAGUUCUAAGAGAGGCGCAUCUUAGACACAUCCUUUCAAAUAUAUAUAAACCUAAUAUUUGUUAAAACUGUAACAAGUGACCAAAAGUGAUUAAGUAGGAUCUCUUUGUAACUGAUCAAAGAAGUGAACAUAUAAACGCAUCCGGCUUACUUGAACCAUCAUCAAAUGACUUGAAGUACCAAAGCCCUAUUAAAGUGCACACACGAUUGCACUAAACUCAGUCCUCAAGUAUUAACCCUAUAAUCCUAUCUACAAAACAUUCAGGCGAUGAGACUAGCCUCAUUACUUCACCUACCUAAUCGUCAACAAAUAAAAGUCCGAAUAUUCAGAUUCUACCUCAUUGUCUUAAGACGCUCCAAGUUAUCCUUGAGCAUUGUAUCCAACACAUUGAACUCUGCCUGUGGAUCUUGAUCAUUGCCGGCAUUCCUCUUCUUCGAAAACCAAUCCCCAGCACUCAAGUGCUUAUAUUUCUCCAUCAAUUCCUCGAAACUGGAUGGAACUACUUCCUCACUCCUACAAUCAAUUCCUUCAUAUAAACACAUUACCAAAAAAAAAACAAACUCAGCUAGAAAAUAGUGAGCAACCUGAAAUUGUCGUCACUGUGAGCUUGGCAGGCCAAAAUGUUAGCGAAGAUGACAGCGAUGUUGUCCUUGAUAGAGUCCAGGGUUCGAUUCAAGCUUCGGAAAAGCGUGACGUAAGACGGCGACGCUUCUCCGCACACGAUUGCACACUGUUCCGCCCAAACAAACAAUCGUCGAUAUCAAUGUCACAGAAAACGAAGUUAAUCGGAAGAGAUGGGAGAUUCGACUUACCGCCAUUGUAGGCUUUUAGUGAAGAGCUUGAAGAUUCGUGAGGAAGAAGAAGACGGGGAUGCGGGAUUGGUUUAGUAGUGAGCUUCUUCUUCUUCCUUCAUCGACUUAUUCUACUCCAUACGACGGCGUUUAGGAACCCCGGCGCGAUGCGUUAAGGGAGAAAGAAAGAGCCCUAGCCGGCGUUGGUGUUCCCUAAUCAAAUAUUUACUUUUAGAUCCGUCUCCGUUUCUUUUUUAGUUUCCUUUUCACUUUCACUUUUACCCGGAAAUUUUUUGAAGUGAAAAGUAAUAUUACAAUCCUUUUAUUUUUUUUUAUUUUUUUUUUAAACAAGUAUUUCAAUUCUCUAAGUCAGAAUAUUGGUUACCUAACCUAAUAAGACACCAUUAAAGUCAAAUCAUGUAUUCAAAUCUCAUUGACAUUAUAAUAUAGGGGUGGAUAAGAUUUUAAUACAUAAAACAUGUACGAACAUAUUUGCAUCUUGAAUCAACUUACAAAAAAGAGUAACACCAAUUAAAUCUUGAAAAUCUUUGUGGCAGUGUUGCAUGUGUUCAUAUGUGAACCUACUCCAAAAUUCAGAAAUGGAAAUUAAAGAAGAAACCCUCCUAUAAGGUAGUAUGCGGUAUCAUUCCUUCUUCACUUCUUCACAUCUUCAUCUCCUGGACCCUUUUGUUUGUCUUCCUCCAAAGUUUGUGCCUCUGGCAGUCGAGGCUUUGCUGUGGUUUUGGUACUUACCGGCAUUACCAAACUUGAGAGGGACAACCUGCUUGAUAUAUGCCAUUCCAGGGAAGUGCCUUUUCUCUUUUGGAAGUGACUUCAGCUGUGGGAGCCAGUACGCCACAUACUCGCCUUCAGGAUCAUAAUUCUGUGCCUGAAGAGGUAUAAGAGCAUUUCUUAGGACUUAAAAGUGUUCAGGAGUGAAUAAAAGAAGCUGUAGUAGGGUACUUAGUACUUACUUGUUUUGGAAUGCUGAAGUAACGAUCUUCCCUGGGGUCAUUUCCAACUCCUAAGCAGGAUAAAAUACAGGAGAAUGAUGAUUAGUUUUAUAAUUCAGCUCUAGUUUACAAGAAGGGGUGUGAAGGAAUACUAAUCCAGGCAGGUAUAAGGGAAACACUUAUGAAUAUUGGUAUAUGAACCAAUGAACUUAGAAUCACCUGCUCCAUAGGUCCAAUUACCAUAAUUGGAACAAGGGUCAUAAUCCAACAGGCAUGUCUCAAACCAUUCAGCUCCCAUGCGCCAGUCAAUACCCAUAUCUCGAACCAGAAACGAACAUACAAUCUGUACAAUAACAGAUGAACUAUUAGUCAUCAUCAAGACUAAUCCAACAUUAGCUGGACAUCAUAAUUGAGACUGAGAAAUAAGAAGUUGUGUACUGACAGCUUACAAAGUUACUUUGAGUUACCUGUCUUCCCCGAUUUGACAUGAAUCCAGUGAUUGAAAGCUCUUUCAUGUUCGCAUCUAUGAGUGGGUACCUAGAGGUUCAACAAGCUCUGUGUAUCAUUGUCAAUGGAAGGGCAAUUACAACAGCCUAGUAGACAAAGACUGUUUCUUAUUUCUAUUAUUAUCAGAUCAUGGACACACAAAUAUGAAACAUCUACAUCCUGGGCAAAACAAUGUACCCUGUCUGGCCAUCUCUCCAGGACUCAAAAGUCUUUUCUUGGCUCCAUCUAUGCUCCAAUUUUCUUGGGCCACCUUUAGCCAAGUACAGAUGAAAAAAGAAAAGGGAUGAAAGAAUGAGAUGAGAACCAAUAAAGAAAAGUGAUGUGAAAUGUAUAACAACAAUAAUUAUGUUAAAGCAAGUGAUCACUUGUGCUAUACAGCAAAGAGCUGUUCGCUUCAUAGACAUUACAGAACUAUACUUAGUUUUCCCACUUCUUGAUCCCAUUACAUGAAUGAAUGUCAAAACAAUGAACUAAAGUCUAUCAUUACCUGAAUGGAAAAGAGAAUUCCCAUAUUUUACAGAUAGAAACCUGAAGUAAUCCCUCCAUAUCAAUUCGAACAAUACCCUGUAACAUUUAACAAAGAUUAAACACGGAACAGAUGAUCUAAAGUCCAAAAACAGUUUAAAGAGUACUUUCAAGUGAGUUAAUGGAAUCUUUGACAUAGAAAUAUACAGUUCAAUAGAGUUAUAUCAAGACAUUUCUACUUUCCGUCAAUAAAAAUGAAUCAUUAAUUAUUAAAUUUGACAUCGCUAGGGUGAGAAAGUGCAGAUACUUUCUGAUCCAAACAAGUUCAUUCUAUUAUUCUUGAGAGAGAGAGAGAGAGAGAUUACCAGUAUGUGGAAUCAUUUGCUUGCCUUUCUUUUUCAUACCUCGUUACCUUAAGAAAUCAUUUGGAAACACUAGUCUCAGUUUUCUUAAUGUCGUGUAAUCAUAUAGUGAAAAGAUGAAAUUAAAUCAUGGAUUUCUACCUCUUCGUGUAUGAGACGAGGAGAAAGGCUUCCUGAAGCAAGCCAGGGAGAAAAUUUUGUCGAAUAAUCAGGUCCUAACAUCCCAUUUCUGGUCUUUUUAUAUAUACUUAGCAGAUCCUGCAAUGUAUGAAGAUGAGAAUAGGUAGAAGACCAAAUUAAUCUAUGAUCAAUGUACCUUAAGCAGUACAGAAUGUAAGGUUUUUAGGGCAUUAAUAAAUAAAUAGCAAUUGUAGAUUUCUCUUGCCUUCUUCCAGAAAUACUCAUUUAAUCUGCCCAAUGCUGCACUUUCACCCCCAACAAACUUCAUUCCUAGGCUUACCUGCAUCAAGAUUGAACAAUACAAAGAAAAAAUGGUCAUUUUCAUUUCGCAUUUUCAUAUGAAAAGAACACGAAGUUCUUCAUAAGCUAGAUCUAUGCAAAUAACACCUACAUUUUGAUGUUGAAGUCCGAACUGAUCUAAUGAAGGAACACAUCCCCAAUCCCCAAUGGUGGGUGUUGGACCUAGAGAUGCUGGCAUUCUAAUGCAGCCACGAACUGUGCAUUUCGCUUCAACAGACUGCAAGUUGUUGCACCAUCAAUAACACAGCUAACAAAGAAAACCUCUAUCACUUAAAUCAAAGUAAAAUGAUUGAACAGAUGUGUCCCUGCCUUGCGAAACUGAGUAUAGACAUCCGGUAAACUACUUGUAUCAAACGGGAGGUCAUCUAUAUGGUACAUAGUGGUGCCCCAUAUAAGUUGUAGCUUGGGAUUAUUCACAGGACUCUGUAACACCACUCGCCUCAGACCUUUGCUGACCAAUCUUUCGACACGCAGCUCCUCACUGCAAGUUUCUUUUUGGGCAUAUACCUAAGUAGAUUAGAUUACAUACCAACACCCUACCGCUUUAAUAAGUUGAAAAACCACAACAAAAAUCAUUCUACAAAUCAAAAAACAGUAUACAAACCACUCAACUGUGUGAGCUCCAUAUGUUUCUGCAAGAGAAGGCAGAACCUCCUCAGGCUUCCCAUGUUGAAUAAGCAAGUUAAGACCCCGCUUCGUUAGAUUCUUCCUCAAGUCAUCCAAGGAUUCAACAAGAAACUGCGCUCUCAACGCUGCCAAAACACCAAAAUUGCACUACAUUAUUUUCAAUCACAUGAUUCUAUAUGACUAUAUCACAUUAUAAAGCCAUGACAUAUGAAACCAAAAUGACUACAUUGAAAGAACAUUUCGAUUAGAUCAAAUUUGCUACCUCCAGUUUUAGGGAAACCAAAGUGAUAGGUGGAACCAAAGAGCCUGGGAUCAACGCAAUAGACAGGCAAAACCUGCUGGGAGGAGAGCCAAGCCUUAUAGAGAGCCUCAUUGUCGAGAACCCUGAGAUCGUUGCGAAACCAAACAAUGGCGACACCAUUGCCGGUUCUCUUGAUAGAAGAGGAGGUGGUGUACCUCUGGAAGGUUUGGUUUAAGACACGGUCCAUUUCGUCCGGGUCGAGACCCGGAACCUUGUGGACCAAGGCGGCGGGUUCGGGUCUGGAGCUGGAGCUCAUGGCUUGGAAAUGAUGUAGUUUUCUGGGUUUGGGGUAUGGGAGGAGAAUGAGCUUUUUGAGAGAGUAUGGAGAAAGCGAGGAGUGAAGAACAGCCAUGGCAUGGAGUCUUAGUUGCAGAGGAUUUGUUUAGCAGUUGGGAAGGUUUACACGUGGCAGAGGGUGGAGUGUGAAACGUGGAUAGUUUGUUAGCCGUGGAGGGAAAUUACAGUUAUUUCCGGUGAUAGAGGUGGUAACUCUAUAUUUGUUACAGCCAAAAAUUGGAGAAAUGAACUAUGAUGAAACUUGUUCGUUGAUACCAGUGUUCAAUAUACAAGAGUAAAUGCAAAACCUUUAGAGAAAUAAUGACUGGGAUAUGAUACUAGCUACUGCUUUAAGCUUUUAGUCAUUGCAUUACAGGGCAGCUGAUCCAGUCUGGAAGGAGAACCAGAAGAUGAUCAUAAUAUCAUUGAUGCGAAUAAGAAUGACAUGUUAUGAUGAACUCUGAUCUUCUAUCUUGACGUGUUUGAACAUCUGAACCAUUAGGAAGAUGAUCAUAAAUCCGUACCAUUAUAAAGAAAUGCUCCUCCAGUCAGGAUAUCUCACAUAUUUUUACCUAAAAAUCAAUUUGAAAAACUUGUCAAGCUUGUCAGUGCAAUUGCGGUUUUAAAGAUAAAACAACGAGCAACUCCUUUCUUUUCAGAUCAAGUUAUGAAAGGUUUAAGAAAAACAAUGUAAGAGCUGGACAGUCUACAACGCCAUGGACUUCACUUUACAACAGAUGCACACAUGGCAAACUUAUGAAGAAGAGAGAAGAUUGAACUAUCUAUAUCCUAAGCGAAGUGCUUCUACUUAGUUGCAUCAAACAAUCAAUACUAAUAACAUAAGGAAACUGGUUACUUAAAGUUGAUGGGAGAAAACAAGACGAUGCAAACAAUCAUAGAAAAGCAAACAAAGCCUUUAACACUCAUAUGUGGCAUUAAAAGAAAACAUUUAAACAGAGAAAAGUUACCUAUAUGGCUGUCUACAGAUGCAGAGAAGAAAGCUAGCGAUGAUAGUUCUGUCCUUUUAGAAUGGUCCAUGACCUGAAGUCAAGCAAUAAACAUGCCAGCAUUUUGUUAAACAGGAACACCAUGAUAUGGGAGUCGACAUAUGCAGCAACAGAUUAAAGUACAGUUACCUAUAGAGUUGUUCUACAAGCACAAGUAUAGCAAUCUGAUGAUUUAACACCAUAGAAGACAACUUGAUAGAUAUGUUAGCUCGUUCUCUCAAUUGUUUUCCAUGUCCAUAAGGUCCACCAACACAGAACAAUAGUCUUGAAGCUCCCUACAGAAUAGCAAGGGAAAAAAAGGGCCACAUGAAGCAAAGUUCCUAAGUGUCUUGCUAAGCUUUCCACGUCUACAUACAUUGAGAAUGGAGAACUUUCAAGUAUACCAAAAAAAAAAAAAACAAUUCAUGAAAAUCACUAACGGCAGGUAGUUCAUACCGUAUUCCCUGCAUCCCCAAUCAACUCAGCCAUCUGCAUGGAACCUAUGUCUUUCCCACGCUCAUCCAACAGCACCACCUAUGACCACAAGAUUGACCAUGUAGAACAAGUAUAAUCCUUUAGCUUAUAUGACAUAGCAGUUUUCAGGAAUAACACAGAAAUGGAAUGGCCCCAGUUUUUCACUUUUGUGUACAAAGCAUCUGAGAAAGAAGACUACAGUAAAAAAGAAUCAACUUUUUUAACAAAAUUUUCGUUAGAACUUUUGUUUUCUGGAAUUCUAUGAGGUGUUGCAAUGAGGUGAACAUGUAAUUUAUGUGCUGAAAGGGUAGUAGAGCUUGGUUGGUUUGGGCUCAGUAGAAGACCUAGUCAAGGGUAAAUAGUAGGAAAAUAGAGUAAUACAGCAACACAAAUGAAAUUUACAAUCAUAUGCUGAGACUGUACCCAAUCAUCGGACCUGAUAAGAUCCAUGACAACACUGUCUUCAUGAUCAACCUGAGCCCUCCAAUCACUACAAAAACAAAAGAUUACUAAUUUAAACUCUACAAACAUGUAGGUUCAAAUGAAUCACAAACUCCUCCAUGUGUCCAUUACUUUAUCACUUUCUUAACAUCAACUUUGCGAAAAGAGGUCUAUAAUCUAUACAUUAUCCGAAAGGGUUGUGAUGAUAGUAGAUUAAUUGAGAUGGAGAGUACCUUGCAUUCUUAGGAUUGUUCUUUAUAUGAACAUCCUCAACACUACAGUACAACUUAAGCCUCUGAAUAUAGUCAUCCACAACGAGUUGCACACCUUGCGACCUCUUUUUCCCUACCGAUAUUAUCCGUAUAGGAAGUGCUCUCUGCCAAACACAAUAUUUAGUCAAACAAAUACCGAUAACCAACAGACACUAGUUUACCACAAUGCAAGGAUAAACAGGAUCGAGGUGGAAAAAUUGCUUACCACUGCUUGACCUGUGUACUUGCAACCUUUACCUGAAAUCACAAGAUGUAACAAAAUUUCUAAAUGCCAAAUUCACAGAGCACAUAAGGGUAUUUUCUGCAAAACGUUUCGGAUAACAGUAAACCUGAAGGAAGUGCAGAGAAAUUGGUAGCAGAGGCACUACACACCACAACCAUUUAUAACAAAACUUACAGCUCCAAAAUUUCAACAGCAACCCUGAAAAUUAGAAAGGGAACAACGUAAGACAGCUAAUGUGGAAUAUGCAAGUGUCCCUCACUGAAAAAAUGUGAUCAUUUCUCAUUCUUUCAUUUCAUACAUACAGCACAAAUUGCAGGCAGUGGUGUUUGUUACUGUGCCUUAUUCACAGGAAUUGCCUCAAGCAAUAGCAAACAUGAGAAAUAUAUAAAUUACUCUAUGCUUAAACCCGUAUUUUACCUCUCUUCUGUAGCUAGCUUAGCUUUAUUUGGCUCCGCAAUUCGCCGCCGAGAAAGAAACCGGCGAGAUAGAAUGAUGAAAAAUUUCCUGAUUGCUGAUGAUGUUUUUUUUAAUUCACUAAGGUGAAAAGUCAGUAUUGCCCCCAUGAUCCGACUUAUUUACAGAUACGUAACCAUACGUAUCAGGCCGUUUUCCCCGGUAUACGGCCGUGUCCGAGAACAGAUUAUCACCUAUAGGGAGCCGGGUACACGCUGGUAUUACCGGAAACUGCCAAUAUACGCGUCGGAUACGCCCGGAUACACAUCCGUAAAGCUAUUGGGUUCAACGACAUAAUAAAGUGAAGCCCAAUGGAUCAUAGGCAAAUAGGCCCAUGUCGGAGGAGAGAGUUCGACUCGGUUCUAGAAGCCUCCGGUUCUUGUCUAUAUAUAAUUGCGGAAUAAAUUCAUAGAUCGAGCAUCUGUGUCUAUUUGUUUUGGAGUGGCAAAAUGUCUGCGUACGAUAACGUGGUGACUGGGAAGCUGAAGCUGAAAGGCAAAGCCUUGGACGUGAAAGGAGGGAUCAAAAAGAAGAAGAAACACUACAAACGCUACGAGUAUGAUCAAUCCAUUCAAGUCUCAACAGGUUGGUUGAUGUCCUUAAUUAUCAAUCUUAUUGAUAUUGAGAUUUUUUAUAAUUCGUUAGUAUUUAUGGAUUCGAUAAGAUUUAGGACUUGUGGUUUAGUAUUGUAUUGCUAAUUGAGAUUCAAUUCUUGGUUUUGGAGGGUGAUAGGUGGAGAUGCGAUAGAUCAAUUUGAGAAUGUUGAUGAUGACAAUGGAAAGGGUGGAGUAUUUGAUCAUAUGACACCGGCGGAGAGACGAUAUAUGGAGCAGGCAGAGAGGCUUCAAGCUCAAAGGCUGGCCAAGAUGGCCAAGAAAUCCCAUCGCGAUCGGGUUCAGGAAUUCAAUCAGUAUCUGGCUAAUCUGUCUGAGCAUUAUGACAUCCCCAAAGUCGGCCCUGGUUAAUCACCCCUUGUGCAUUUUUCGGGUUUGGCUGGAAAUUGUGGUCUGCUACUCAUAAUUGGAAGCAAGAUUUGAUUUGUGAAGAAAUCUGUAUGAGAAGUAGGGAUUUGCUUAGGAUGCUCAGAUGGUGACAUCUUUCUUUGAAAAGGAUCAUUUAUUUGCAUUACUUGGUGGCUACUUUAAUCUCCUGCUUUAUAGUUCUUUCUUCUUCUUUUUCAAAAUCCAAUCAAGAAAACAAGCUAUGAAGCUAUACCAAUUGUACAAGACCAUUAGUAACAUGCCUACAUAUUAUUACACAGCGAAAAUCCUUACAUUGAACUGCGUCUGCUUUAGGAUGCUGGGUAUCAUAUUGUAGAACUCAUUGAUUCCUAAUGAACAUAUUAUCUUCAUGUUUUGCAGCUGAAUGCAAUGCGAUUGAAAAAGCUAUAGUUUUAGAUCUACACUGAAUAACAUUGAUACCACCAGCAUUGAAGCAGUUUUACAUGAGAAUGAUUCUUGAUCACUUCAAUUAGAUUUACCUUGUCGUCUGAAAACAAACAGCGAACCUCUAGAGCCUUUCCCCAGCCUAAUAUUCUCAUCUAUAUAUGUGAUCUGGAGUUUUACCUCACUUUCACCGCCAUAUCGGAAGUCAAAAGGUCCAACCUUCAAUUCUGGUGGCUCAAAAAUAACUUGAACCCAUUGAUCAUUCAGAACCUUCAACUUUCCUGCUUAUGCAGAUAUGAGAGAACUCAAUGAUCAAAUAGGAAAAGGGACAACAUAAAACGCAAGAAACAUGACACAUAUUUCAGGAUAAUUUCAUCUCUAGGCUAAAAAUAUGCUUACUGAGAUUCUAAUCCAAGCAAGUUGUUGUACCUUUAUCUUGGUUGUUCAUUCAGAAAAUCAAACUAGUAAUGAGUCUACAAGGAUGGCUGAUUUGGCAUAAAGCUGCCAUACGAUUUCUGCUCUUUAGUAAUGUGUUCAAGAGCUUUGCCAUUAUAUUGUAACCAUCACACUGGAAUAUGACAAUGGUGAUCAAACUACAUACUUCAAAAAUCAAUAUCAUUCGGAGUAUAGAAACGAGCAGCCUACCUGUUAAAGAGACUUCUCCAUCCAAGAACCCAAAAGCAGAGAAGGACACCUUGUUUUUAACAAUGUCAGGAGCUUCAAUAACUUGAAUCAUCUCCUUUGUUUUGAAAACGAGGCGGCCCAGCGUACUCCUGUAGCCACCCCCAGGCGAUGUUGGCACUGAACAGUACAGCACAUCCCAUUCUGCAAAAUGUACCACGGUUAACUACUUAACUCAUCCUGAGAUCAAAAGACUAACAUAAUAGAAAGCUGCACAUCCUCAAUUUAGUAACGAGCAGGGCCAUAUCAGUAACUAAGAACCAAAAUAACUACCAAUGGAUUGAAAGAAGUUGAAGCCGAGACUAACUACUAAGAAUGUGCAUCAUACAUUGAAUGUCUUUGAGAACAUAUGCUCUUCUAGUCUUCUCCCACUAACUUGUAUCGACUUAGAAUCUACAAACAUAUCAGGAUUUCUAGGUGGAAUGCAUCUCUAUAAAACCAUCAUAUAUACAUGAAGUUACUUAAUUAUCUCACAACAACGAAGAACUCUAGGCCUUGAGGAAUUUUACCUCCGAAAAUAAGAGGGCAUUUCACUGGUUCACUAACACAGUAACUCUGCAAUGCCUCGGCCACUUGAGCUACCUCCUUAUGUUGUUCCUUUUCCAGCAAGACUCCUCUAUCCGAAUUCAUCACCUGAUCGUAAUGUCACAUAUUUCAUGAGUCAACUAUUAAUAUCUUGGCAGAAAUCCAACGACACAAAUGCACUAUCCUCCUAAUCAUUAAAAGCUGAAACAUAGCAUUAUAAUUACAUAUUUUCAUAUAAACUGGAAUGUGAAUUAGAUUCAUGGUCGAAGAUUUACCCAAAAAAGGAUUGAAGGGAGUCCAUACCUUGGAAAGAAUAGCAGCAGCGAGAUCAUCGGGACCGGUCCGUGUUUCCGGGCUUGAAACCGAGACAGUAGCCGAGAUUCUCAACGCUUUGCGGUGACGAGAACGAGAGUGAGGAGAAACAGCUAAGCCCAAAUUGGUGGGUUUUGCGGAGAGAUUAUGGAACCUGGGUUUUAAGGGAUCGGAGGCUCCUCUGAGUGUGGAGGACGAUAAGGCUAGUGAAGAAGCAAGAGCAGCAGCCAUGGAGUUUGAUGAUGAUGUUGAGAUUCCAAAACCAGAUUGGGUUUUUGCAGAAGGCAGUACAUGAUAAUUGAUGUGGGCUCGCGAAUCAAAGGUGGGACAGGUUUGGGGUAGCCUAUUGGUGGAGGUUAUGCCACGCUGAAGAUAUGAAUUUCUUAGCCUUAUCUGAUCGUUACAAUUACUAAACGAACCUUUUUUUUGGCGGGUAAAACAAUCUUUCUUUUUUUGCGUUAUCCAAUUAUCCAAAUUACACAGUCCCCUUAUGCUAAAUCCAUGGAGAUUUUCAGAACGAUCCCUCCUCCUUGUCGCUAAAAGUAUAUUGAAAUUUAACUUUAAUUAAUGUCGACGGGAUUCGAACUUAAAUAUGAAGGUUUAACACGUAUGCUUUUAUUAACUCGACUAUACCACCAGCCUGUGGUGAUUAAUGCGUUAAUAAUCUUAGUAAAUUUCAACUUGUUAGGAACCAAUCAACAACCUAAUUUAAGAAGAAAAAAAACUGUCAUAUGAGCAAUAUUUGUAGUAGUGAAAAGCAUGUAUUGGACUUGUAUGUUUGAGUGAGGUGGCUAUAAGAGGGAUUGGAGUAGCAGCUACUUCUCCAUACCAUGGUGGAAGUUUUCCUUCAUAGGGAGUCCUUCAUAACCUCACGUAAAGUUUCAAUCGAGCCACACUCUCGUUCCAUAACACACUUUUGGUGCCUCUGCCACGUAGCUUGCACUUAUGUGAUAUAGACGUUCUUUCUUCAUAACCUUGGGCACCUCGACUCCCCCAAUUGAUUGGCAUUGGCUUCGUAAUCCUUACUUGGAGCUAGAAGUACUCCAUUCCUUUCAAUCAGGCAAAGGAACCUUUCUCAUUAGGUAGCAAAUUGUUAUCAACUAGUUCCCUUUGUUGCUAAUGCUACUUCUUUUUUUUGACACCCUUCUUUCGGAUUGUUUGUUGUAUCCCAAAUGCUUUUUAGGCUCAAAGAUUAAUCCGUUGAGGGCCCGCCAACCAACAGGGCAUUGCAGCCCUUCUCCUAGCCACGUUUAUAAUUCAGCCAGCGUUCGAACCCAUGACGUGAGGGUUUCAUAUCAUGAAGUUCCCUUGGUGGGACCCAAUGCAUCCAUUGCACUACUUACUGAGUUACCAUGGUUGGUAGAUUGAGGCUCUAACAUGUCGUAUGGCACGUGAUUCCUUGCUAUUAUGCUUGGCUUAGUUCGUUUUUUUGUUUUUUUGUGAUGUGAAAUCCACACACCCUUUUUCCUUUUUUGAUUAGGAAAAUUUUGUUAUGUCGUCAGGUACGGUAUAACAUGCUUGCUGGAAACACAUGUCAAAUUUGAAACCAACCACCCCCUGCUGGACCCCCUCCUGCUGAACCCCCUCUCAUUUAGUGUUAAGUAUGUUAUACCGUUUGGUAGUUCGAUAUAGCAGACAAAUCUUUUGAUUAAUACAUUUACAAAAAAACAAAAUUGAAGGUAGGUUCAAUUCUUACUAGAUGCAGGCCAAUGGGACCUUCCAAUAAGUCCAAUGACUCAAUAACAUUAUAAUCCAAUUGUGGCCCACAAUAAUCUAACUUUGGGUCAAAGCCGAUUAUCACGUGAGAGCAGUCAGACCCUGUUAACACAAGGUUUUCCACCUUGUAAACCCGUAGGCAUCCACAUCGAACCUCAAGAUGACCUAGACUCUUAGAAGCUGACAUUUUUUAUCAACGUCAUAUGUCUAGCAGGUCACCAAUACUCAUCAACUUACCAAUAAAAGACUUGUGAUUGUUGUGACUCAAACUGGGACAAGGGUUCUACUCAAGCAAAUGUCUUGCCCAUCUUGCUAACCCUCAUUCACGAAUUUAGUUCCAUUAGUGAGAGCGUAUGAGUAAUUGAGUACAUUGCAAGUUUGGAACCGACUUCUAUGUUUGGUUGGCACUAUCAGUCAUCUCCUGGUCUUAGUCUUAGCCUCACUCUUCCUCUUCAUGCCAUGAUCUUAUUGUUGAUCUCUUGUUUAUGAAAGUGAAACACUUAACUAUAUAAAUUAUAUGAUAAAAUUUGGACUUAGUUUUUGGAGUGUGAUAAAGAUCAACCGUAUUUUGGUGCUUGGAAAGAGCAAACGGUAUUAGGAUAGGAAUUAUAGGAUAUCAUUGACACAGAUUUGGAUAUCGUAUUAGGGUUCACAUUUAACAGCAAAGAUCUGACUCAUUAAUGCAGAUUAAUUAGGGUAUCAUUUACAAUUAUCAUCAUAAAUCAAAUUCAUAUUCAGGUUAUGAUCAUCUCCCAAAUUUAUAUUUUCCUAUAAAGUCACCUGGGCCUAGUCCAAAGGUAUUCUUGAAAGGAAAGCAUAUUGCCAAUGUCCCAUAUUAGGAGAUUGACAAUGUUGCCAAAAUCACAAUCUUGUGUGCAUUUUUGGAUCAUAGGUUAGACACUUAAAGGCAGUAGGUACAGUCCCCGAUUCCAUUUUAGGCAAUUAACCAAACUGAUUUCACUACUAUUACGUGUGAAAGUUGCCAUAAAUCGCUGGCUGAAGUGUUUAUCAUCAACUCGAACCAUCCAAAUUGUUAAAUUAUCCAGAGCCAGAGAUUCACGCGUAGUCAUUAUAAUCAUCAAAUCAUUCAUAUACAAUACAAUGCCUCACCUCACUUUGCAUCCCCUCAUAUUUCUAUUCACACCCGCCGAACCCGCUCGAUCAUCUGCAUUUGAAGUUUUAAUCACACCCAGAACAAACCCAGGUUUAGAUUUUCUCCAUCUUCUCAAAGAUUGCUUCUUUUUUUCGGUUUUGUUGGUACCCAAUUCAUAAGUUCAACAGGUAAGAACUAAGAACAUUAUGUUUCUGUCCUUCUGUUUUUGGCUGGUGACAUUUGGGUAUGUGAAUGUGGUCAUUUUGAUUCAAAAUGACAGAAACCCACUUUUAGGUUCAAAUUUCAUGUUUUUGAGACAAAUUGAGAAAAGGGUAGUGCUAAAUUUGUGAAUUAAUUAAAUUAUGUGAUUGUUAUUUUCAUUAUUUGAAAGUGUGUGAUGAUAUGCGUCUGUGUGUUGCAAGUUUUCAGGUUCUUUGGUAUAAUUGGGGAACACUAAAGCAGAGGAUGCGAGCAAUAAGAUGUUGCCUUCAACCCAAUUGAAAAAAGGUGGUGCAUGGAGGCCACAAUUGAUGAAAGACAUAAUGGUCAUGUCCAAGUCAAGGUCUCGCUCACAAUUGAAAAGACAAAAAUGGAUCAUUGUAUUGGCUUGCGUCGUCUCCGUUUUUCUGAUCACUGCUUAUUUCUAUCCCUCGCAAGGCUCUUCCACAUGCUAUCUCUUUUCUUCUCCUAAUUGUAGUGGGAUGUUUGGAAAGAGUCCACCUACUCCUACAAGGGAACUAACUGAUGAUGAGACUGCAUCUGAAGUUGUAGUGAAGGAAAUUCUCAAGACGCCUCCUCUUCAGUCUAAGAACCCAAAAAUCGCUUUCAUGUUUUUGACUCCAGGCACUUUACCUUUCGAGGAAUUAUGGGAAAAUUUCUUUCAGGUAAGGCUCCUGGCUCUUGUGUAGUUGUGUGUUUAUAUUAUAGACAGGAGCUAGCUAGGAGCUUUCAAUUCCUAGAUUCAAACAAUACAGUUCAUUUCUAUCUAUGCAUAGCUCUUGAGACUCCAUUUCUCAUGCUUAAUGGGGAAUUUGCACAUGAAAGCUUCAAUAGUGGCCUAGGCAAAGUUAAGGCCCUGAUUAAGAAUGACUUCUGAAACUUUUCUUUACGUUACGCACUCUUUUAGUAUUCAAAGAUAAUUGAUGGAAGUGUAUUCUCCCCUAUCUAGUCUAGUGAGAAUUGGAAGUAUGAUCUAGCGUUUGGGAAAGAAAGGUUCAACUUUUUAUAUGGGAAAAUAUAAAUGCAGUUUCAUAUUUCUUGCUUUUUCAAAGUCUAACAAGAUAGAAAUGGUUUCCAGGGCCACGAGGACAAAUUCAGUGUCUAUGUACAUGCAUCGAAGCAGAAACCAAUACAUGUGAGCCGCUAUUUUGUUGAUAGGGACAUACAUAGUGAACAGGUAGGCAUCUCUCACUGCAUUGUUACAGUUCAGCUUAAGUUUGUCCCUUGCCGCCAGAUGGAUGUCUUUAAUCAUUUAUAGAUGCCUUUGAUAAUUAACUAUCAGGUUGUUUGGGGGAAGUUUUCAAUGGUUGAGGCAGAAAAGAGACUCUUAGCUAAUGCGCUUUUAGACCCUGAUAACCAACACUUUGUUCUGCUGUCUGACAGGUAAUUUCAUUGUAAACUGUUAACAUUUCGAAGUUUUAUAUGAUGUUUUGAUCAAAUUUCGCAAGUUCCUUUCCUUGAUUGUGUUUUAUGUCUGCCUUUCAGCUGUAUACCACUGCAUAGCUUUGAUUAUGUAUAUAACUAUCUCAUGUACACGAAUGUCAGCUUUAUAGAUUGGUAAGCAAACUAGACUAAGCUCUUAUUCUGGUGUAGAUGAUCAUUUGUAUUUACUUUUAUCUGAUGCGUCAUAUUUCUCUCCCUCUAGUUUUGUGGAUCCUGGUCCGCAUGGAACUGGACGGUAUUCUGAGCAUAUGAUGCCUGAAGUUGAAAAGCAUGAAUUUCGAAAGGGUUCACAGGUACCUCAACAUAUGUAUAAGUUAGCGAGCAAAUUUGAUAGUCUAUCAAGUUCUGGAACUGCUGCAUAUAUGGAGCUCUGAUGAAACAUUCCUUUACUUCAUCGAGUCUUAUCCAUUUUUAUGCUUAACGGAUGGGGAACUAUAGGUGCCACAAAAGAAGCUUGUACUAGCUACUUGCUUUACAAACAUGAAUUCCAUUGAAUUACAUUGUAAAUUACUUAUCAUGCAUAUAUCUAUCGUCAUAGAAAUGAUAGAAUGGAUUUAGGAAUCUAUGUUAGACACAAAGGAUUUGACCCUUGCAGAUUUUAUGUUGGCUACAAUUUUGAUCUGGCAGUAUUUUGAGUUGGGAAUAUUACUGGAUGGGGGACUAUGUUCUUUGUCAGCAGCUUCCUAUUAAACCAGAAAAUAAUCUGUUAACUUGCUUUGCAGUGAAGUAGACUAGGCAAUUGCUGUAAAAUCAGUUCUUAUUGCAUACUUCUAGUUCGUAGGAUGUUUUAGCCUAUUCUUUCCAUGUCGACUGAGCUUCUAAUUCGUCACAAGUAGGUUCUGGUAGGACAGUUCAGACUUACCGUCACAAGAAAUGGUCUAACACUCUUUUCUAAUGCAGUGGUUCACUAUGAAGAGGCAACAUGCAAUUGUCAUGAUGGCAGACAGUCUAUACUAUACCAAGUUCAAGCUUCACUGCAGGGUAAUCUGCUCUCUUUAUCUUUGCUUCUGUGCAUGUCGUAUAUGCUGGAAAACAUGUGCUUGUAUGUGUAUUCACUUAUAGUCACAAGACAUAGAUUACAUCCUAGUGAUGAUUUUUUUACUUUCUCAGCCGAACAUGGAUGGGCGCAACUGCUAUUCGGACGAGCAUUACCUGCCAACCUUCUUUCGGGUAAGCACCAGUUAUUCUUCUCUUGGUUCCAGUUAAAUCUGCAUCUUACUCUCUAAAAUUUAUCUACCCUACCAUUUCAUGCUUGCCAUUAACUAACCCCUUUGACCAGAUGAAAGAUCCUGCUGGUCUUGCAAAUUGGUCGGUAACAUUUGUUGAUUGGUCUGAAGGAAAAUGGCAUCCAAGAGCAUUUAGGACUCAGGAUGUUAGUUAUGAUCUUCUUAGGAACAUCACGGUAUAGCUUUGAGAACCCUUUUUCUCAACUUCAUUUUCUUCGUGCGACAUGCCAUUCAUUCAUUAACACAUUUUCACCCUCAUUUCAGUCCAUUGCAGAGAGCACACAUGUGACAAGUGAUGAAUCGGUACAACUAACCUUUCUGAAAAACUGGUUCAAAUAAGUUGAUUUGCUUGCCGAUGAAAACUUACCUAUAGCGGGUUUAUACACCUUCUGUCAUCUCGCGACAAAAGGUGUAUACACCCCUUUAUGGCAAUUCCUAGUGUAGCACAACUUUGGGGUCCCAACUGAAAAUUUUCAUAUGUAAUUUUUUUAAUUGCUGCAGAGAACACUAUUGAGCAGUCCUUGCAUGUGGAAUGGGAUGAAGCGGCCCUGUUUCUUAUUUGCCAGAAAGUUCUAUCCUGAAACUCUGGGGAAACUGAUACACCUUUUCUCCAAUUACACAAAAGUUUGAAAAUCUUUCUUCUUUGUCUUCCAAUUAUACAAUGCCGUCUGGCCUGACAUUUUGGAUCUUUGCUGCGAAUAUUUAGCCAUGUCAGUGAAGCUGUCAGGGUAUGGCUGGGAUUGGUGGUACAGGGAAUGCUGCUGCUGCUUGUUGUAAACUAGUUAACCUUUUCUUGUUAGAAUUACUCAAAUUGCAUUCUGUUUCAGAUCUUUAUAUCUGUAAAAGGAAAAACCUAUGGAAAUGUAUUUUAUGUACAAACAGCGAGUGUUCAUCCCACUCUGUACAUGUGCUCAGCAGCUCAGCUUGUUGAUACUGAUCGACUUUGUUUUUUCUUGUUUGCCUCCUUAAGGUCGGAAAACAAAAACAAACUAAGCAACAAUAAGCUGUUAAUUCAAUAACCCAUUAGGCCCCCUCCACGACAGAUUAUUAGAUUAGGUGAGAGCUCAAAUAGUCUUAUGAGAUGCUUCCAUAUUAUAAGGUAAAUUUGAUGUCAAAUUUAGAUAAGAAAACAAGAAUAUCUUUUAGAAUCUUAUGUGUCACUUCUAUAUAUCUAAUAAUCAAUCGUGGAAUACAAAUUUUUAUGUUCCACUUCUAUAUAUAUAGUUACAAAUAUAGUGUUGCUAUUAACACACCCAUUUUUUCUUUGUACAAGCCUCAUUAUAAUGAGAAGUGAUGAUAGAACAAUUUCAUCGGACUAGUUUGUCAAUAAAUCAAUCUAAUAUUCCAAUUGUUGAAAUCACAUUGUUUGAUUCACGACUAGAAAUGACGAAUCUGAAUUAAAACAACACAUCUUUUAUUUAUAAAGCCAACAUUUUCUAAAUGGUUAAAUUUUUAUACUUCAGACUAUACCCUCUGUUACCAUGGUUUUUAUUUUUAUUUUUACGUCCUAAACCAAAUAGUGCUCAAAAUUCAAAACCAAAAAACAUUUCCAUUUCCCUCCGCACCUAUUGGCGAGCGGUAAUCUCAACACUGUUUCAACCAAUCCCAGCCGCUGGUCUAAUUUCACCCUCGCAAAAGCGCGGGAAAGUGAAUAUUAUCUUCUUAAUAUUAAAAAUUAAAAUAAAAACAUAAAAAUAUAUAAAAUAAAAACUUAAAAAGGGUGAAACGAACCACGACGCCCCCACCUGAGAGAAAGAGAUAGACCCACACAAACUGAGCACCUCUCUCUCUCUCUCUCUAUCUUUCUCUCUCUUCUGAACUGCUAGGGUUU
rnacentral:lncRNA from 1 species